rnacentral:lncRNA from 1 species
UUUCCAAAAUGAAGGGAUUAUUGAUCGGUUAUCUUGUUUUAAUACUCCACAGUAGAAUGAGUGGCAGAAAGGAAAAAUAAGCAUUUACUAACCACAACCUGAUACUUUUUCAAGUAAACGUACCCAAAUCUUAUUAGGGGAAGCUGUUCUCACUGUCACAUACAUUAUAAAUAGGUUACCUUCAAGAUUUUUGAGAUUUAAAAUUCCUAUAGAUCUACUCACAAUUUUAUCUAAACUUUAAUACCACAAACAACUUCACACAUAGAAUAUUUGAUUGUACAUAAUUUGUUCAUGUUCACAGUCAUAAUAGGGGAAGUUGGAUCUUAGAGCAAUUAAAUGCAUUUUGUGGGGUAUUCAUCAACUUAGAAGGGGUAUAAGUGCUAUGUCUGCAGAUAUCACUUUUUAAGAAAAUAAAUCAUUUUUUACUCAACCUUAUCUUUUGAGGGAGGCUUCAUGCAUGAAAGAUAAAGAUAAAGACUUCUUUUUGCUUAACUUCUCCUCCUCUUCAACAUUUUCAGCUAUUAAUUCUUCUAAGUUUAAACUUGUCUCUUUUAAGUUCAAGUUAAAUACUAAAUUUGAGUUUGAACCCAUUCCUAACACAGAAGAUGUGACAAGGGAUAAUAUUAUUUUUGAUUCUACGAAGGAAUUACAAGUGUACUCAAGAAGGAAAGUUUCGAAUCUUGAACCAAUGCAAGUCCAAGAAUCUGAUCCUAACUCUGAAAAUGAGGUAAGUACAGUCUUUGACUCUGUUUUUCAAAAUGAGCAUGAAUCUUUUAAAACUAUAAUUAGUGAUUAUGAUCUGCUUGUUGCCAUUAGGAAAGGAACUAAAAAAUGUACUAAACAUCCACUAUACCCAAUCUCUAAUUUUUUGUCAUUUGAAAAAUUCUCACUAUCCCACAAAAUUUUUCUUAUGAGCUUAAGCACUAUUUUUAUUUCAACUACAUUGUCCGAAAUAUUAUCUAGUGAGAAAUGGAGGCAAACCAUAAAAAUAGAAAUAGAGGUCUUAGAGAAAAAUAAGACAUGAAAACCAAUAGAGUUACCUAUAGGAAAAAAAUCAAGUUGGGUGUAAAUAAGUUUUCACUGUAAAAUAUAAAGCAAAUGGUACUGUGGAAAGGUAUAAGACUAGGUUGGUGGCUAAGGGUUACACUCAAACUUAUGAAGUGGAUUAUUAAAAAACUUUUGCUCCAGUUGCCAAGAUGAAUACAGUUAGGAUUUUGUUAUUAUUGGCUGCAAAUUAUAAUUAGCAGCUUCAACAAUUUGAUGUAAAGAAUGCUUUUUUACAUGGUGAUUUGAAAUAAGAAAUAUAUAUGAAGGUUCCAUUGGGAUUUAGAAGUCAUCUUGAAACAAAUAAAGUAUGUAAGCUGAAAAAGGUUUUAUAUGGCCUCAAACAAUCUCCUAGGGCCUAGUUCGAGAUAUUUGCCAAAGUGAUGCUAGCAAUGGGAUAUAAGCAGAGUUAAGGGGAUCACACAUUGUUUAUCAAGCACUCAAAUUCAGGGAAAGUCACAGUUCUAUUAAUAUAUGUUAAUGAUAUAAUUAUAACCAAAGAUGAUGAAAAAUAGAGAGAAUCUAUAAACAAUAUUUGGCCAAAGAAUUUGAGAUAAAAGAGCUAGGGCGAUUGAAGUAUUUCCUAGGAAUUUAAAUAGCUCACUCAUGACAUGGUAUUUUUAUCUUACAACAGAAAUAUGUGAUGAAUCUUUUGAAGGAAACUGUGAAGCUUGUAUGUAAACUUGCAAGUAACCCUAUAGAAACUAAUGAAGAUGCUACUGUAGAUAGAAAGAUGUACCAAAGAUUAGUUGAAAGACUCAUUUAUCUCUUAUAUAUUAGACUUGACAUAGCAUAUGCUGUGAGUGUGAUAAGUUAAUUUAUUUAUAAUCCUAAAGAAGUGCACCUACAAGUUGUUUAUCGUGUACUACACUAUUUGAAGGCUAAUCCUAGGAGAGGUAUCUUAUUCGAAAGAAAUUCGAGACUGGUGGCAUAUACAGAUAUGGAUUAUGCAGGUUUAGCAAUUGAUAGAAGAUUCACCUCAAGCUAUUACACUUUCCUAGGUGAUAAUCUUGUAAAUUGAAAAAGUAAAAAACAAAAUGUGGUGGUAAGAUCAAGUGUUGAAGCAGAGUUUAAAGUAAUGGCUUAAGGAAUUUGUGAACUACUAUGGUUAAAAAUUAUCCUAGAAGACUUGAAAAUCAAGUGGGAUGGACCAAUUAGACUCUACUAUGAUAACAAGUCUGCAAUAAGUAUUGCACACAAUUUUGUGCUACAUGACAGAACCAAAUACAUUGAAGUAAACAUCAUUUUAUAAAGGAGAAACUAGAUAGUGGGUUGAUUUGUACACCGUAUGUAUCAAUCAAGAGUCAACUUGCAAUUUGGUUGACUAAUGGUCUCAGUAGUGCAACAUUUUAAAAAAUUAUUUACAAGCUGGGAAUGAAAAAUACCUAUUCACCAACUUGAGGGGGUGUGGGAAAACAUUUAGGCUUCGUUUGUUUCACAGAAAAUUACUUUCAAAAAAUUAUUUGCAUAUUUUCAGAUGUUUGUUUGACAGAAAAUUAGCUGGUCAACAAAAAAUAACUUAUUGAUCAAUGAAAAAUAAAGUCAUUUUUUUGAAAAUUAUCUUAUUGAUUUAAAAAGAGGAAGACAUUUUCUGGAAAAGAACUAUCUAUGAGUAGAACUACUUGUCAAUACUUCUGAGCAUAAUUUUAUUUAUAAAUAAUAUUAUAUUAAUAAAUAAAUAAUAUUAUAUUAUAAUAUAUUAAUAAAUAAUAUUAUAUGAAUAAAUAAUAUACUAUUAAUAUAAUAUAUUAAUAAAUAUUAUUAAUAAAUAAUAUAUUAAUAUAUUAAUAAAUAAUAUAAAGAAUAAUAAAUAGUUUUAUUUUAAGUAUUUUUUAUAUUAACAGAAUAUUUUAAUAUUAAAUAUUAUUAUUAAAAUAUAAUUAUUUUUUAAGAUUAAUCAUUUUAAUAAUAAAUAAUUUCAAUAUAUUUUAAUAAUAAAGAAUUUUUAAUAUUUUAAUAGUCAUAUUAAUAUUAUUUUAAAAAAUAGAGUUUCCAAAAAACAACCAAACAACUGAAAAUAUUUUUUAUUAACUCAUCCAAAUAAUAAAAAAUAUCUUUCAAUUCAAAAAAUAUAAACAUUUUCUAGAAAUCAUUUUUUGAAAGUCAGUGAAACAAACGAAACCUUAUUUACAGCUAAUUGUAAUUUUGUAAUCUGUAUAUUUAUAUUUUUAUCUUUAGAAUUAAAGCAUUUAUAUCCCUAGAAUUAAUGAUAGAAAAUUAGGAUAGACAAUCUCUCAAUUAUAAGAUCAGUUUUAGGAAGAUUUAAUUUUUUAGUUUACCUACUAGUUAGUUGUAUAUAAACCUAAGGUGCUUGUAUAAUUCUUUGAUGAACAGUUUUUUAAUAUACAUUUAAUUUUACUCUUAAUUUUUCACGAAGUUUUAUUUCUUAAGUUUUUCUGCAUAAAGUAAAUGUAAAUUAGUUGUUAGUUUUUUUGGAUUUAUAAAGGCAUAUUUUGCCUUUAACAUUGUUGUUUUUCCUUAAGGAAAAUAAACUUCUUCCUUUUACUAAGAGCUUUGUUAUGCCAAUUGAAUUGCCGUGUGGCUCAUUAGUCUCCUAAAGUUUUCUUUAGAAUAAGGAGCUGGUAAUUUAAGCUCGUCCAUUACUUUUGUUGCUAUCUUGGUCUUCUCGGUUCAUUUAGGCAUGCACGUAAGAAUUUUAUUAUGUGAUCUAGGUUGAUCAAUAAAAAUGGUCGUUGGUGUUUCAUUGUCAGUCUCUAACGAGCAUUGUGACCUUUGGCUUCUGCUUGGACUGCUUUCAACAUUUUUGAAGCAUGGUAGAUAGAGUGUCUGGCUUUCUGUAUGGGUAUAUUGAGCUUAAUCUCUUCUUCUGGGGGUUAUGCACUAUUCGCCGUAAAUCACUUGGCUCAGUUUUGGAAAUAUAGGAGAAUAUAUGGUCAUAAAGGAUUAGAAUAAUGCAUGGAAACUUCUGUUGUUCUUAGGAAAUGCAUCUCUAAAAUUCACAUGAAUAUCCCGAGUUUUUUGCAGUGUAUCUAUAGGUCUUCGUCUGAUUUUUUGAAUGGACAAGAGUAAGGAGAAUGCUUAAUAUGCUUUUUCCACUUAGGCAUUUUCAACCCCUUUUAUUUGGUCUAUUUUUCAACUACAUAUAAAAUGGUUUGAAAAUGCGGUUGCAUUUCAACUACAAAUAAAAGAUUUCUUUCUUCAACCCCUGUCUAAAAUCUUAGACAUUUUGCAGUGUAUCUCUAAGAAUAUUGCAGUUAUUCUUAGCUACCUUUUAAGAACAUCUAUUGAUUUCGAUUGAACUCCUGGUUUUUACGUACUGUUGAAAAUUUCAGUUUACUGCUGAACUAUUGCACCUAAUUUUUCAGCCAUAUUGGGUCUAUAUUUUUCAGAGACAAAAAUAUUUCAUCAUGGUGUUUUUAUGAAUUCUGAUUAUUGCAGGUUUCUAAAACAUUUGGUGAGGGAAAAGUUUCCUUUGAGGAAUACGUAUUCACCAUAAAGAAUACAGUUGGCAUUGGUAUGCUCAUAGAAGCUAUAGGUAUUGGCAAAGGAAAGCAAGACCUAACUAGCAAUGCCAUGGAACCAGUAAAAGCCAAUCAUGUAGUUUCUUUUCGUCCUGAAAUACCAGUUGGAAAAGCAUGUUCUACUCUUGCAUCUGCAGAUAUUAUCAAGUUUUUAACAGGAGAUUUUAGGUUGAGCAAAGCUAGAUCCAGUGAUCUUUUCUGGGAAGCUGUUUGGCCUCGCCUUUUAGCCAGAGGCUGGCACUCUGAACAGCCAAAGGAUCAGGUUUUUUCUGGUUCAAAGAAUUCUCUGGUGUUUCUUGUUCCUGGUGUUAAGAAGUUUUCAAGAAGGAAGCUGGUGAAAGGUAACCACUAUUUUGAUUCUGUUAGUGACGUUCUUAAUAAAGUUGCUUCAGAACCAGGGCUUCUUGAGCUUGAAAUUGAAGUGCCAGGCAGCAGAGAGAACAAAGAAAAUAAGUGGGACCCAGUAACAAAACAAGAUCCUGAUUUUAUGACAAAUAAACGUAACCGAUACCUCAAGCCACAAAAUUCUGGUUGCAGUCGAGAUUUAAUGAAGUUUACAGUUGUAGAUACUAGUUUGGUCCGAGGGGCUCAACGAUCCAAGGUUAGAGAACUGAGAAGCUUACCACUUGAAGCUACGAGCUUAUCCACCCCCUCUGGUAUUUCCAGCGAUUCUGAGGAGGAUACAUCUGAUGACUCAGAAGAUGAUGCAGAAGAAAAUAGUACUUCAAAUGCUGCAGAGUCCAUGGCUAAUGGGGAAGAAUAUGUGGACUUAUCAGAUUGUGUAAAUAGUAAUUCAAACAUCGUCAUUCCCCACACCUCUGAUACCAGCAUUAUAUCAAUGGAAAAUCAUGAAAGCCAUAACACAAGUCUGCUUGAUGAGAAGAAGAAAAAGGUUAUGAAGUAUAAUUUCAGCCGAAAGGUGCAGUCUAGUGAUUCCAAAUAUUUGGCUCCUGUUAUUAAACAGCAGGGUUUAACUGAUUGUGUCAAUGGAGAAUCAAGCUGUAGUGUUGAAAACUUUUCUGCUGAGAGGAUGUUAAAUGAAGACAAUUCGCACUGUAGGUCUAGCUUGCCUGAUGCUUGUGAAGCUAUGGUUUUUCCAAUGGGAUCCCCAAACUUGUCACCAGCCAGUUCUUUGUCUAAAGGCGGUGCUGAUGAGGGAAAGGAAGGCAUUGUCACUGAAAACUGCCUUCAUGGAGAAGAAUCUCUGAUAAAAACGCAGUUACAUGCAUUGAUAGACUUGAAUGUUCGUCAAGUUUCAAUGGAUUUUGAAACCAAUGGACCCUUCAUCACAGAGACGGUGCAAAAUAUUGAUAAUUCGUGUGCUCAUAUAUCAUUCUUUCAGUCCGAAAUAAUGGUGCAGCCUGAACCAUUGAAGCUUCCUGAUAAAGGCGCAGAGGUCAAUCAGCAUCCUGUAAUGCACAACCGGAGGCAGAGUACCAGGAACCGACCAUUAACAACAAAAGCUUUAGAAGCUCUUGAAUGUGGGUUCUUCAGUCCCAGGAGGAAGAGAAAAGUUGCAGAGGCUCCACAGAAUAACUCACGAAGAGUUCGUGGCAGGCCUGUUGUUAAUGCCCUUUUUAGAAAUGGUGCUUGUAAGCCCAACAUGGAGGAGAGUUAGAUUGGUUUCUGCAGUGGCAAAAAAUGGCCAGUCGGUCUCAAAUCUGAAUCUGAUACGUGGAGAAAUGAGUGGACUAAUUGCUAAGCUGGUCCUGAAAAAACCACGUCUCCCUCCACGGCCUCCAAAGCAUUGUGUUUUGGGUGCCUUUCAUUCUUUUAGUCAAUAAUUGGGAGUGCAUAUGUUUCCUUAAUCAAACUAGGAAAACAUAACACUCCAUUCACCCAACCAGCUGCAGAUUCGUGACCAAUGUCAGGUGAAAAAUUGAAGUAUCAAACAUGUUCAUCUUACAUAAGUCAGACGAAACUGAUGCAGGGUUAUAAUCUCAGAAAGAAGAGGAGGGGAACAAUUCCUUAAACCGGAGUAACCUUUUUCAUUGUGGGAGCAAAUGACACAGGUGGUUCUUACUGUCUUCUAGAUAACUGACUUGCAAACGGUAUUCCUUAUAGGGGUUUGACUGCUGAAUAAUCGUAAUGCCAACCUUUGAUCUUGGUGAAGCUGACUGUUAUUUUCUCAGUUAAAUAAGUUCUCUUUCUCUAUAAACUUUGUCCUCAAAAAGUGUAUAAAGCAAAAGAAUUUUACUUCUAUAUUAGAUUUUCAAUUUAACAAAGUUGUCCUAUUGUUAGUAUUAUAUUUUUUUGACAAGCAUAUGGUCAAAAUUUUAAUUAAUAAUUUUUUAUUAAACACGAGGAAUGGAAAAGGAAAAAAAAAUUGGAGAAUCAAGAGUCAAGAUUAAUAGCACUUAUUAUUCUGAAAGUGAAACAAAGUUUAACCAAGUAUGCAAGUCAAAUUGCUCGUAAUCUUUGAUUGAUACUAUAUUUCAGUUGGAUAGGUCGGUCGCAUUGCGUGAUUUGUUGUUUGCAGUUUCUUUCUUUUAGUUGUCUAUGAAAUUGCCAUUGCAGGAUAUCUGAGUUUUUUUUUCUGGAUACAACUUCAGAGAGAGGUCAGAGUAAUUGACAGGGAAAAAACUAAGCACUUGAAUUGAAGCCAGUCAAAACACAGAGAAAACAAACGUUCAAUCAAUACUCAAAAUGCCAAAAUUUUUUCGCUUGCAUGUUACCUACCUGGGAAAAAGGGAAGAAAAGGAAACUUAAACCAUAUGAAAACAAUGGGAACUUUCCUCCUAAACCUGUAGUAUUUUUUUUUUUUACCCAUUUUCGAGUUAUCAAACAGUUGCAGAUCAUUGAUGUUACUGGUGAAAAUGAGCCAUGUUUUCGAGGUGGGAAACCGCUGCUUGAAUUACUAGGCAAACAAGAGUAAGCUCAGCUCUGCCUCAAGAGUCGAGGGUCUCUUUCAAUUUUCAUUCUCUAACAUGAAGAAAACCUUAUUCUUCUCACAUCCAAAUCAGGCCUGAUCUUAAUUAUCCAAAGGGCAAAAAAAAAAAAUUUUAAUUCUUAAUGACAUGGUCAAUGUCACGGACGGACCAUACCUAGGCCCAUUUCCACUUCGAGCCCCAGAGCUUGGGACAUUUUUGCUGAAAAUUUUUCUUACAUAGACUAAGGUCUGAGAGACCCCACUUCACAAGGCUGAUGGUGAUAACUGAUGAUGAUGUUAAUCACUAUUAAUGUUAUAAUUCAAAACCCAAUUCCUAUUAUUCUAAAUAAUGAUUUUCAUCUUUCUCACUUUCUAGAUUAUCUUCAACAAGUCAAAAAGUUAUUGGAUUCCCAAAGAUUUUUCUUUCUCCCUCCAAAUAAUCUCCAUCAAUGCUCCAGUGAUUGGCAGGGUUGAUAUCCUCCACGUUUUUAAAAAAAAUUAACACUUGGUUAGAAUUAGAAGCAAAACCUGUUUGGGAUUUAGCACGAUGAAAAAAAAGAAGAACAAGUGAUUAGACGUGAUGUAAUAUUUAUGUCAUAAAUUUUUUCGAAUAUAAAAAAGACUAUUGAAUAAAAAAAAUUACAGACAAAUAACUUCCUUUGCUUAUUUAAUUAACUUUAAUUGAAACUAUAUCUAGAGCUUCUAAUAAAUUGAUUCAUGCCUUUAUUUUCUCUUUUGUUUUUAGUUUAUAAAUUUCAAAUUGGGACCAUUUGAAAGCUACGUUCUUACCGUAGAACCAGUCAAAAUGAAACAAAUUAUUUCAAAUCCACCAAUUUACAAUAAUUUUGAAAAUUAACCAUCAACAGACACAAAAUAGACAAGGUUCACACUUGAUGCAAGACUAAAAUCUUUAAAAAAAUCUUUCUCCUUAAUUAUUUUUUAUUCCUUUCUAAUUCAUCGUAAAAAACACGUCAAUUUCAACAAACAAUAGAAUAUUCAUGAUUGGUUUUUUUUUUAACCUCAAUCAAACAUCGUUUUCAUAAAAAUAUAUAUAUUUAAAAAAAGGAAAGAAUGCAAGGCCAUGGCCGUCUUUUCUGUUGUUUAUAUUCAAUGGGGUUACUUAGCUUAUGUCAAUUAGAAACCUGGUUCGUUCUAAAUUAUUCAGCAUUUGUGACACUGCAGCAUCUGAAUGGUGUUUAGGGACGUCCUUUAUAUUCGAUCUUUGCCAUAAAAUAACCAGGAAAAUGAAUAAUGUUGGAACAUUUUUGUCUUCACACUGUUGUGUUGAUGUUUGCUUCAUAAAUUCUAUCGAUCCGCCAUCGAUGAUAACCAAGCAAUUCUGUUUGUCUUAACUAGUAGUUCGUGAUGGAGAAGUAGCAGAUACUUGCAAAAUGGUACAGUUUUGAAAUAUGAUUGACCUGAGUUUUGGAACUUAGCCAAUGGUUCAUAUUCUUAUUUCUGUCUCUUUGUUGUUUCUCAUUCUACAGCCGGGCUUCUUGUUGUUUCUUAUUAAACGUGUGAACUAAUUUUUGGAAAACUAAAUCCUGCUAAUUGACAUGGAUGGUUCAAUUUUCUUCUUUCAAGUGGAAAAAACUGAAAGAAAAUGCCACUAAAGAAAGUGAUCAUCUGGUUUUUAACAUGAAAUUUCUUCAAUACGAUCAAGAAAGUUCAAGAGUACGAUCUGUUUUUUUCUCAAAAAUACGAUAUUUGUGGUGAUAUUUUGGGGUUUAGUUUUGGUCUUAUCCAAAAUUUCGAUAAUGGUCGUUAACUGAACAUAUUAGGAUUGAACAAGUGAACAAGCACUUGUUCUUCCCGGAGUUCAGGAUUGUCUUGUCAGUUAGGCAAAUGGCUAAUACGUUUUUUCUAAAGUAUCACUUUUUCUCCCCUUUUGAUUGAACUAUAGUGUCACCUCCAUCAUGCUUAAGUCGGAGAUAAAAAAAAACACACACACACACAAAACCCAUUGGCCAUAAAUAAGGAUAGCUUUAGCAUCUCCAGAGAAUCAGAUAAAAUACUUUUGCCCUAUAAUAUUCUUAGACAAUUACAAGAAGGAUUUAGUUAGAAUGAUGGAAAUUCAAACGCUUAUAGAAUGUGAUAUUAUACAAAGUUUCAUAUGUUAUCAGAUGAUAUAUUGUAAAUAUAAUUUUUAAAUUGUGAUAUGUUUUAUAUAAAAAAAAUCAUAGUAAAAGAAUAAAGUGUAUAAUAGAAACAAUAUUUUUAUAAGCACAGCUUUUUCUUGUUCAGAAAAUUCAGUAAUUAGGAUAAAAAGUCACAUUGAUGUAAAGCAAAUCCAGGGGGCAUAGUUUUACCGGUUGAAAGAAAAGAAAUUCUGGGUAAUGCGAUUGUUUAAAAUUAUAUACAAGUUUAGAUGUCGUUGUUACUCUAAAUAUUAUAAUAAUGUAACCUAGAAAACAAAGCAGCAGCCAUCUUUAAUGGGAUUAAUAACUUAUGUAUAAGAUAUUGAAACUCUGGACACUGACUUGUUUGGUUUCCUUGAUCGUUUGGAUCAAACCAGACAAACAGGAUUCGGCACAGUUUCAACUGAUAACGGAGACGCAUCCUAAUGAUAUAACAAGCUUCUUGCACCUUUUUUUGAUUGGUUUAAUCAUUAAUUUGUUAGGCAGCCUUUUAUAUUAUUACAAAAUAUUUAAUAUGAUAUCUAUAUCAAAAAAAUGUUCGAUUAUAAAGUUAAAAAAAAAAACUAAAAUUUAAAUAAAUAAAAAUAAAAUAAAUGAAAUAUAAAAAAAUUGAAAAAAUCCAAAAAUAAAGUAAAGUAAAUUUUCAUAUUUGAUUGAACAUUUUUUUAUUAUAAAUAUCAUAUUAAACAUUUUUUGAUAAGAAAUUUAUCCCUUCUUGAUUAUAUAUUGUGAUAUAGACUGCAAAAUUGUUUUUGCAAACUAAUUUCAUGGAGUGGGAUAAAUGCAUAGAAGGAGAGAAAUAUAAAAAUUAAAUUAGUUUUAAAGAUGAUCAUUGUUCAGAUGUAAAUUCCUACUGUUUUAUAAAAUAGAAUUUUCACAUUUUCAAAAAGUUUGAACCCAAAAUCUGUAAGAUGAAGAAAUUUGCUCAACACAAUAAUUGUCCAAUCUUUUCAAGUAUAAUUGAAUUUUGAACUUAAAUUGAUGGACUUAAUUUCUUUUCAACAAUUGAUAUCUUUUUUUAGCUAGUUGAAUUUAUGUCUUAUAUAUCAUACCUUAAAUUUUUUUAUUUAAAAUUAUUAAAAUUUGAUUUUUAAUUAUUAAAUUUAAAAAUUUAACAUUCUAUUAACAAAUCAUGUGAUUUUACAUCAACAAACUAUAACUUAAAUUCUAAUGUCUGCUUAAAUAUGUCAUGUGAAGCCUACAGCCUUGCUCUAGCCAAACUUUCUUGGUUUUUAAUUUACUCCCAAAUCAUAAUGCUAUAGAUUGAUAAGAAAUCUAAUUAAUUUUCUCAUCCAAAUUAAUUGCUCUAAGCUUUAAUUUGAUUUUGUUUUGGCAACAAAAAUUUUAUCAUUACUGUCAUAGUAACAUAUUAGUAUUAUUCGAGGAAAGGCAUCUUGGAGAACCAAUUAAACUAAUUUAUAUAUAAAAAAUAACAAUGGAAAAGAAUGGCAAUUUAUUUAAUAAUGAUCAUAUUAGGGGGGCAAUUUCCUUGUGCUUGUCCUUUUCAAAUUUUAACCCUGUACAUAUAUAUUUAUAUAAAGCCAAAGAAGACCAGGUUCCAAUGUUAGCAGCUAGAACCCUCUUCUUUCACCAGAAAUGAAGGAGAAUUCCCUGGUUUUUGUCUUCCUCUAGAGAGAGCAGAUUCCUGAUUUUAUGUUCACCAAAAAACAAGCCUCCACUUUUUGUUAGACCACCAACAACAAGAAAGGAAGAAAGAAACAAUAGGAUUUGGAGCCAAGGAAAAGGAAACAGACAAGCUUGGAUAUUAUCACUAUAUCUUUCCUCUCAGUUUCAAAUGUCAAAUAUCUCAGGUGAUGACGGAAGCUUCUCUUCAGGAAACGCUGGAGAGGAAGUCCAGCCUCUUGAAGAGAAGCAGCAGAAACAACAGCUGCAAAAUAACUUGACUAGCUCUGGUUCAGGACCUUCUGGUGCUUCUAACAGCAAUGGUUCUACCACUCAACAGCCACAACAAGCAGUUAAGAAGAAAAGAAAUUUACCAGGAACUCCAGGCAAAUCCAUUUACCCUUGAAUCUCAAUUAUGCUUUCUUCUAUGCUAAGUUUAUCUAAUUCAGGUGACAUAUAUUUGAUCUUAUAACAUCAGGUAAGUUCCGAUGAAAUAUUUAACUGAUGUGGUUUUUAGAUUUGAUCCGUGAUUUCAGUUAGAUGCAUGGCUCUGAGUUUUACAUAUGCUUCAAUAGAAGCAUGCAUGUCAAGGUAGAUUUGAUCCAGUUAAGCAGCACAAAAGAACAAGAUUUCUAAUGGGGGUAUCUUCCAAGAAAUAAAUAGCCUUUAGGAAGAAAAGAUUAAUUUCUAAUUUGUUAUAUAAAAGGUUCAAUUAUUGCUAUUAGUUUACAAUAAUUGCCAAGAACUGUUUGCUUGAUUGCACUUUUUACUUCUCUUUUUGUUUUCUGACUGUGUUCUAUUUGGUUAUUGGCUCUUUGGGGUCCAACUGUCCUAGUAAGAAUACAGAACUCUCUUGCUUAGAUUACAAAAACAAUUACUUAAUUCUUUUUUAAAGGCAAAUCUUCUACUACCUCAUGCUCUCAUUGAACAAUUGGUAGUCUUUUGAAAUAGUUGUAUAAUUGUUGCUCGAAUUAGAUCCAAAUGCUGAAGUUAUUGCUCUAUCACCAACAACGCUUAUGGCGACAAAUCGAUUCGUGUGUGAGAUAUGCAACAAAGGGUUCCAAAGGGACCAAAACCUUCAAUUGCACCGAAGAGGUCACAAUCUUCCCUGGAAGCUUAGGCAAAGGAUAACCAGUGAGGUCAAGAAACGAGUCUACAUAUGCCCCGAGCCAACUUGUGUCCACCACAACUCGGCUCGUGCACUAGGGGAUCUUACAGGAAUAAAGAAGCAUUUUAGCCGUAAGCAUGGCGAGAAGAAGUGGAAAUGCGACAAGUGCUCAAAGAAAUAUGCUGUGCAAUCUGAUUGGAAAGCUCAUCAGAAGACCUGUGGUACUAGGGAAUACAAAUGUGAUUGUGGAACCAUCUUUUCAAGGUUUAUAUACUUUAUAUUAGAAUUUUUAAUCAAAUUUAAUGAUUUGCAUCCGCUUUCUGCAUGAAGAACUGAAAUUGAUAUAUAUAUAUAUAUAUAUAUGUAUGUAUGUAUAUGGUAUCCUUUAUAAGGUACAUAAAUCUAUAUAUAUAUAUAUAUAUAUAAUUCAGUGCAAGGUGUUCAAUGAUUAUCUGAUGAUGACUCUAAAGUUUUGCAUUGUUUUACAUGGUAAUUUCAUAACUCUACAGCAAAACUGGAUUUUAUAAAAUUUCUUGUUGGAUGCAGGCUGUCUUGCAUAUAUGUUUUAGAUUAUGCAUUAAUUAUAUCAUCUCUAAGCUCUCCAAAUAAAAGAAAUGUUGGAAAAUAUUGGCCGACAAUUGAUAGGCUUUUUCAUACUUUAGUUUUGACCCCAUUUUUAUUUAUCAUAUUUCAAAAUCUCUCUCUAGAUCAAAAGUACUGUUUCUUAUCAAAAUUUUUAUCCAAUAACAAACCUAAUUUGACCCCACUGCUUAUUCUUUGUGCAGAAAAGACAGCUUCGUCACGCACAGAGCAUUCUGUGACGCAUUAGCUGAAGAAAACAACAAGGUAAACCAAGGACUAAUGAACAACAUCAACAUGGGAUCAAACUUACAAAACCAAAUGCCAGAGCUCAUGUCAUCAAUGCCAAUGAGCAAUGCCAACACAUCUCUGGGAACAUCUGACUUCAACAACAUUGACCCGAAAAACUCGCUCAAAUCCCUUCCCCAAGAGCUAGUGCCAAUGCCGUUUAAGCCUAUGAACAUGGGUGGAGGCAUGUUUUCAAGCAGCUCUGGCACUCUGUUUGGCAGCCAAAGAAGCAUUUCCUCAGCUUCCUCUAGCCUACAACUUAGUUCAAAUAACCCAUCUGGCUUCAAUUAUUUACAAAACAGCAACAAUGCUUGCCAAAUUGACGGGUCGCCCCACGUGUCAGCCACAGCCUUGUUGCAGAAAGCAGCCCAAAUGGGUGCAACUGCAAGUAAUAGUAUAAACUCUCCCAUGAUGCAAAAAAGCUUUCCUAGUAGCAUGGCAGGUCCUGACCAGUCCAUUAGACCAACAUAUUUUGGAGGAAUGCAGCAGCAGAACACAUCUUACGAACACUUUCCAUCACAAACCGAUCAUUCAAGCAUGGUUGGGAUCAACGAGGGAGGGUUCUCUAACCCGCUCAUGCAAAAAAGCCCCAAUGAAAUGGUCCAACUUUUCAAUACUGUGGCAGGAAGCUCAGGAAUGAAUGAUAUGGGAAUUUUCACUAACAUGUUCAUUAACGGAGCUGACCGAAACCAAGGCUUGAUAAAGAACAUGGAACAUGAAGAUUGUGGCAGUUCUAGCUUAUUACAAGGGAGAACUCAGGCGAUCGAAAGGAACCCACCAGGGCCAGCAAUAUUUGGAGCGAGCAAUGGAGAAAAUAACAUGACAACUCUUGAUUUCAUGGGGAUUGGAGUGUCAAGGACAGUCAAUUUGCAUGAACAGCAGCAUCAGCAACAAAGAUUAGAAUUGGAAGCAAUAAGCGAACAAAGACUGCCAAUGAUAAACCCUUUUCAGCAACAGCUCUCACAUGGGAAUUCCGCUAUUGCAAAGUCCAUCUGGGAUGUCUGAGAGCCACAGGUUUUUUUGUUACUUUUAUCUGUCAGUUGUCCUUGGAAGAUUUUCUUGCUCUUGUCUGUGACAAUGCUGAGAUGGCCACUCUGGCAUUGGGAACCAAAUGGGGCUCAUAGGGUACACACCAACUUAUCUAUCUUCAAACAAUGGGCCUGACUUUUUAAAUUCAUGAUGACCCAGCGAUAAGUGGGAGUAGACCUCGCGAUUCGUAAACGAGAAUCAUAAUUAAAUAUUAAAAAUAAUUUUUAUAUAAUAUUAAAUAGUUAAUUAAAUGUUAUAAUUAAAAGAUUAAUAAUUAAAAUAAUUUUUAUAUAUUUAUAUUAAAUUAAAAUAAAUAUAAAAAAUAUAUUAAAUAUGUUACAUGUAUAUUUAUAUGAUAAAAUUAAAUUAAAUAUGUGAUUAAUUUUAUGUUAUGUGUUUAGACGUAUUAAUAUAUUAAUAAGUAUAAGAUAUAAAUUAUAUUAUAUUAAAAUUCGUAUCGAUAUAAAUAAAUAUAAAAUAUAUUUUUUAAAAUAUAUAAUUUUUUAUAUUAUAUCAUUAUAUUGUAUUUAAAAUUAUCAAAAUUAAGUAAGAGAACCACGUGUCGAUCACGAAAUAACCUAAUCUCACUCUUCGAAGACAUUUUUCUUCAAAGUUUAAAACAAACAACAAAUAUGAAACUCCGUUUCCUUUCCACAGCCAAUUUGUACCGAGAAAAAAGAAACGCUGAUACAGACACACUUGGUAAGUAAUGUAAUCCUAAAAUGUAGAACCAGCUUGGGCCACUUUCCAUGGAAAAUGUUUUCCACAUGAAUAUGAAAAAUGAUAAAAAUAAAUAAAAAUUCAGCAGAGACUAUCUGCUUUUACCCCAUCUUUCAAGUCGUAGGAAUCGUACAUAUUCAUCAUACCUAACAUCCGCUUUCACCCUCCCCACCCCAAUUAAAGACUAUCAUUUCCCAACUUUGUCCCACUAGAUGGACUCACAAUGCUAUUGUUUAUUUCCUAUUUUUGAAGUCAAUUUUUGGUGAAAUUAAUUGAAUCCAAUAUUACAUGCUACAUCUGACUAGGAAUCUUAUGAUACCUCACUCUCUUAUCUUCAAAUGAGUACUUAUUGUUUGACUAUUAAUAAUGAGACUAUUAAAAUUUGACUAUUGAUGACGAAAAUUAAAAAUUUAUUAUUUUACCAAUGAAUAACUUAAUUAUUAAAUUAAAAAUUCUUAAUCCCUUUCUCCUCCUAGAAUAUAUUAAAAAUAUUCAUUCUCUAUAGUUAAGUUUCUAUCAUAAAAUUAGAGAUAAUCUUGUUAAAUGAUUGAAUUUUAUAAAAAAAAAAAAAAGAUAAAAUACAAAAAAUUAUAUUUAUUAGAUUGUACAACGUGAAUAAAACCGUAAGUACCAAAAGCAACUAUGCGAAUGAAAUAAACUCUGGUCAAAUGAGAAGUGAAAAACAAGUGGGCUUAGACUAGGAUGAAGCCGGAGCCCAGAAUUUCAGGAGUCCUUUAAAGCCCAAAUCAGCUAUCUGCCCAUUCUGGUGAACGCAGGGUUAGGCUCGUAAUAAGGCUUGCCCCUUCUAUCCUCUCUCACCAACGGGUUAAAAACCCUAACCCUAAUUUAGAUUUUCUAUUUAUACGCGAUAGCGAAAGCCAACUUCGCAGCCGAAGCCAAAUCUUCGGGUUCGCUUUUUCUUUAUAAUUCAAUCAUCUUUUUUAUCUCAAGUUCCUAAUCUUUACUCUUCCUCCCAUAGGCACAUCAGGUUCGGCGUUGAUAAACUUUUGAAGCUUUGAUUUUUUUUUUUUUAAUUUUUAAUGAUAAAAAAGGGGAGGCGGUGAUGUUGAAAACUACCUAUUUUAUGAAGGGUUUUUCGCCCAUUUUGUGAUUAGAAAAUCACCAAUGGAUCCUUCUGAGCCUUCUUCUCUCAUUUUCUUCCCUCUCAACUCCCAACUUUAGUUUUUGAUGAGAAAGAAAAAUUGAUAGGUUAAUUUUGUUAGAGUCUGAUUUAGAGCCAUUGAGAUGAUGAUAUCCUUUUCUGAAAAAUAUAAUGUCGACUAAAAAAAAUCAGACUACAAUUAUCUGAUCACUGGGCUCUCUAUCUCCCUUUUUCUCUUUAUUUUCGUGUCAAAUUUGUUUUGCUUCUUUUUUCUCUCAUUGUUUUGAUAAUAUUUACUUUCAUUUUCAAGGUUUUUCUUUUUUUAAUAUUAUUUAAUCCAUUUUUUUUAAUAAAAGACAAUACAUCUUUUAAGAUAAUUUUUUGUUUCAUUUCGGACGAGUAGAAACAAUAGGAAGAACAACAAAGAUUUUAUAUCUCGUACAUCACUUAGAUGAACUUUAGAGAGUCGCAUAAAAAAGAAUGAAGAAAUGGAAUAUGAAAGAGAACACAAAAAUAAAUAAAUAAUAAGGAAUUGGAUUUUAUUCGCACUGUAGCUGAGAUGAGUUCGUUAAUUCUAUCUUUGAUAUCUUCUAGAUCAUAUUUUUGGUGUAUGAAAUAUUAACAUUCUUUUUUAUUUUAAAGAGAACAAAUUAAAAAAAAAAAGAAAGAUAAUGAAAAAUUUUUUACUGCAUUAUUUAUUAUUUUUAUUAUAUUAUAAUUAUAAUAGAUUCUUUCCUUAUCUAAAAAAUAGAAAAAAUAAAUAAAUAAAGGAUUUACUUUAAGAUAACUAGUUAAAUAAGUAUGUAUUAUGUCAAUAUAUAUCAAUUAAUUUGUAAAGUAAAUAUUCAUACAAAUUAGUCAUAUGUAGAAAAUCAUAUAUGAACUGAUGACACGAGGGUUUUCAAUCGUUUGCUUUACCGAGUUAUCUCGAUCAUUAUUGAUGGAUUAUCUUAUAAUAUUAGAUGAUUUGGGUUUAUGUCAAUUAAAAAUGAAAACAAAAACAAUGAAAAAAUAUUAAAUUAAAAGGGUAAUUUCUUAGAUAUUUCAAAGGAAGAUUUUAUAAAUUUCAAUAUGAGUAAUCAUUCAAAUAGGUAUUCUUUACUCAAAGGUGUUGAUUUUUACAUAUUUCAUACAUAAAUAUAUAUAUAUAUAUAUAUAUAUAUGAGACAAGACUUUGUGACAAGAGAAUAAAAUUCUACUAGAACACGCUUGUAAAAUGAAAAAAAAAAUAGAAUGAAUGAGAAACUUUAAAUUACUAACAAAAAAAAGAAAAAGAUAAAAUAAAUAGAUAGCAAACUAGCUUUUUAAGGUUGGGGAUGGAGGAACUUGAGAACAAAAUUCAAAUGUAAAACUUGGAUUUUAAUUUUUUUUUUUAAAAAAGUAUAUACUAAUAAUCAGUUGAAAGUUGACUCAAUUGAGUUUAAACAGCCACUUUUUUCAAGCUUUAUGUAAGUCAUCUUAUUGAGAUAAAAACUACUUAAUACAUUAAGAGGUUUAUGCGUACUACUUACAAUAAGAGGUUUAUGCAGGGGUUAAAUAAGCGCUUUUUAGUAAAUCAAAUAUUACUUAUUAAUUUCCCUUCUAAAGACGUAUGGAAAACAAUGUGUAUAAUCUUUAGAAAACAAUGUGUAUAAUUAUGAUUGGUACUGAAAACACUACAGGAAGAGAGUCCUGGUUUUUUGAAUAAUUGAAACUUUGCUAUGUAUACUUGAACUGCGGAAUUGGACUUCCCAAUCUUAGCUGAACAUUGACAUGAACAAUGUUUGAAGCUGCAUUCAGUAUCUCCUUCUCUGCCUCCUUCGCCGCUUCCAUAGCAUCACUGUAAUGAGAAAAGAAAAGAAAUUGGUAUUCGAUAUAUAUAAGGAUAUCAAUUUGUAAAAUAAAGUAUUUCGCAUCCUAAAAGUCAAUAUACAUAGGAAUGUUCGAUAGGUAAUGUAGAGCAUUCUGCAUCCUCAUUCUUAUAUUUUUAUAUUAUAUCUAUUAUCGUAUUUAUAUUUAAUAAAUAUUUUAAAUUUAUUCACAUUCUCAUCCCCGCAAAUAUUUAAUUUAAUAAGCAAAUAUUUAAUUUAAUGAAUAUGAGUACUCCCAUUACCCUUAAACGUUUAAAAAAAUAAAAACUCAAAUUUAUUUUUAAAAUUUUUUUUAUCUUGUAUAUUUUGAUAUUUUUUUAUAAAUAUAUAUUAAUAUAUUUUUCAAUAAAAAUAUACUAAUUCUAAUUAAUCUAAUAAAAUAAUUUAUAUUUACAAAAAAAAUCUAUUUACUAAAAAUGUAUAUAAAAUAUAUAUAUAAGGUACAAAUACGAGAUGAGUAUUAUAUUAUCCAUUUUUGUAUCCAAUAAAAAUUUUAAAUCAUACAUAUACUCAUACCGAUCCUUGUAAAUACAAUAUAAUACACAUUCUCAUCCCCAUUCAGAUAAAAAGUCUAAUUUCUCAUUAAAUACGAGUAAAAUUAAUAUCUUUAUAUAUAUACAUAUAUAUAUAUAUAUAUACACACACAUACACAUAUAUAUAUAUAUAUAAGAUAAACUUUAUAAAUAUACCCAAUGAUUAAAGCCAAAACAAAAAUACCCUAAAGUUUAAAAUAUGACAUUUAACUAUUUUAUAAUUUGUUCCAUUAUUUUUUAACUUAAAUCUAUUACUUUUUUGUUUUUUUUUUAAUUUUUUUUUUCUUCAUCUAAAUUCAUACUUUCUCCUUCAAAUCAGACUAAUUCUCUCUCUAAAAUCAAACAAAACCAGACAUUUUAAAUAUUAUUUGAAUGUUAUUUUUUAAAAUAUUGUUGUAUAAAUCAACUAGAUCGAGGUUUAAAUUCAAUCGCCCAUUAUGAGAUUCACUUUUUUACAAAAAAAAAAAGCAAAAGUCAUUCCAUUAAUUCUAUAAACAGCCUCUUGGGUUACAAUGCCUAUUAGUUCCACUGGGCAAACAUUAAGCCACUGUCAAGUCUCCACAUUUUUCACUGCCAUUUUAACCAACUUGUGCAUCACCUCAUUCGCUUCUCUCUGAACAAACAUUGCCUUCCAGUUCUGAAACUUGGUUAGACCAUAUUGGACCUCCAUUAUUUGGUUUCCAAUUAAAGACAAAUUAUGUUCUUGUUGGUCAGUGAUCUGGCCAAUGAUUCCUUGCGCGUCUUCCUCCAGCACAAUGUUUGUCCAUCCCAUGGCAAAAGCAAACUCAGCCGCUUUUGAGAUAGCAAUUCCCUCUAUUAUUAUUGCAUCCCUAAUUCCUAGUACAAGUAUGGACACUGCUCCUAAGACCCUCCCCUAACAAUUCCUCCUACGUUCCUCUCUGUAUUUAAAGCACCAUCAAAGUUUAUUUUUACCUCAUGUUCAGCCGAUGCCUUCCACAUUGCCUCUCGUCGUAUGAUUUGAAUUUAGAGAGAGAAUUAAUUUGAUUUUAGGGAGAAAAAAUAAAUUUUUAGAGAGAGGAUAUGAAUUUAGACGAAAAAAAAAAAGAAAAAAAAAUUAAAAAGAAACGGAAAAAAUAACAGAUUUUGGUAAAAAAACAAUAUAACAAAUUAUAAAGUAGUUAAGUAUCACGUAUUAAAUCUAGGGGAUAUUUUCAUUUCAACCUUUACCAUAGGGUUUAUUUUUAAAAUUAAUCCACAUAUAUAUUGAACAAACCGCCAAAGGAAAAAUGAAAGAGAGCUUGUACCGAAUCAUGAUAUCCGGGGGCAUGCUAACCUCAACUUCCAGUAAUAUCUUCCCUUGUAACAUGUGAUGAGUUAUGCGUUCAACCAUAAAUUUCUGCAAAAUUCAUGUAUUCAACAAAAAAAUGUAUUAAAAAUGUUUUAAGAAUAAAGUAGCAAGUUCUGCCCCAAGCAAUAGUGUGGUGUUGGCUUGAAUAACAGGCAAAAAUAACAAGAUGAAAACAAAAUUCAUGAUUUCCCUUCCAACAAUGGUUAAAGUUUAGAUCUGGAGCUUUUUUUACCAAACCACAUUUCACCUUGCUACUCCGACUUCAGUGCUUAACACCUUUAUCCACAGCAUAGUUCAUUUAUAAUUGAGCCUACACUUAAAACACUCAACAAAAUGAGAAGAGGUACCUCUGGAAACUUUGAUGAAAAUAUGCUAGAAACAAUUGCUUCAACAUUUUCCUCCCUGGCAGAAAUAUUAUUAUUCCGUUCCUCGAUUCUCUUCAAACUUUCUUUCUGGUCCAUUACGUCAGGGGAGAACUCUAUAUAUGCAGGAUCUACACUUUCCAAAAGGUAAAAAGAAAGUUGAUCAGAACAAAGACGCCGACAACUGGUGAUGCAAAGACAGUUCUUGCAUCAAUUUUACAGUCCAAUAACCAGUAAUCUCUUCAGCAUGGUAUCAGAUAUCUAUGCCUAAAACCACAAUAUUAUAAAGGGCAAAAAAAAAAAGUUAAAUUAAAUGCUAAUCGCCAUUAAAGUACAUCUUAGCUCAGUAUUUACACUGGCCAAAAAUCACUUGCUCCAAGAUCAAUUGUUUCUCCAUACCACAGGUUAAAUUAUCAAGCUGAAAAUAGAAUAAAUGGUCCAUGGAAGUCAGAAGAAAUUAUCAACAAAAGACAAAUGAUGUAAUUACCUAGAGGGAAAGUUCUUUUCUUCUUUCCCUUAACAAUCAGUUUUCUUUUAAAGAUGGUCAUCUUUCAACACAAAAUAGUGAAAUUACAGCUCUCAUCUUAAGAAAUUUGUUGCAACCAAUUCAGUGAUGAAGUAACCAAGUAAUGUACCUAUGUGUAUGAAAACUUCAGUCACUUCAGGGUGGGACUCAUGAAUUUGAUGACGAAUGUUUUCACCAAUGCCAUGUGCAGCACUAACACUAGAAAAGGGAUUGACCUACAUGUCAAAAAUAAGGGGAAAAUCACAAAGGGCAUCAGGAAAUCUCAAAUAGGCAGUUUAACAGUCAAGCAAAAAAACCAACAAUAUAAAGUACUAGUAGCAACAAACGCUAUCCGACUAUUUACGGUUAGCUAUAUGAAUCACAUUGUUUCAUUCUGCUCUAUUAAACAUCAUAUCCUCAGCAAGCUUAACAAAAGUGAGGUAGUUUUUAUACUUUCUAAUCAUAUUCUCCUUGCGAUUUUCACUGGCACUAGAAAAUGUACCAAAAACUCACCACGAUAUGUACAUCAAGGUAUAGAUUAGAACCAGCUCUCCUUGCUCUUAAACGAUGGCAUCCCUACAGACAUUUGUUAAAAGAGUACUUAGGGAGACUGCCAAGAAAGGAAAAGGCAUAACUUAAUUGUAUAUUUCACCAGUAGUAACAAGCCAACAGAUCACAAUAUCAAAUACCAGGUGCAUGCAUCNNNNNNNNNNNNNNNNNNNNNNNNNNNNNNNNNNNNNNNNNNNNNNNNNNNNNNNNNNNNNNNNNNNNNNNNNNNNNNNNNNNNNNNNNNNNNNNNNNNNNNNNNNNNNNNNNNNNNNNNNNNNNNNNNNNNNNNNNNNNNNNNNNNNNNNNNNNNNNNNNNNNNNNNNNNNNNNNNNNNNNNNNNNNNNNNNNNNNNNNNNNNNNNNNNNNNNNNNNNNNNNNNNNNNNNNNNNNNNNNNNNNNNNNNNNNNNNNNNNNNNNNNNNNNNNNNNNNNNNNNNNNNNNNNNNNNNNNNNNNNNNNNNNNNNNNNNNNNNNNNNNNNNNNNNNNNNNNNNNNNNNNNNNNNNNNNNNNNNNNNNNNNNNNNNNNNNNNNNNNNNNNNNNNNNNNNNNNNNNNNNNNNNNNNNNNNNNNNNNNNNNNNNNNNNNNNNNNNNNNNNNNNNNNNNNNNNNNNNNNNNNNNNNNNNNNNNNNNNNNNNNNNNNNNNNNNNNNNNNNNNNNNNNNNNNNNNNNNNNNNNNNNNNNNNNNNNNNNNNNNNNNNNNNNNNNNNNNNNNNNNNNNNNNNNNNNNNNNNNNNNNNNNNNNNNNNNNNNNNNNNNNNNNNNNNNNNNNNNNNNNNNNNNNNNNNNNNNNNNNNNNNNNNNNNNNNNNNNNNNNNNNNNNNNNNNNNNNNNNNNNNNNNNNNNNNNNNNNNNNNNNNNNNNNNNNNNNNNNNNNNNNNNNNNNNNNNNNNNNNNNNNNNNNNNNNNNNNNNNNNNNNNNNNNNNNNNNNNNNNNNNNNNNNNNNNNNNNNNNNNNNNNNNNNNNNNNNNNNNNNNNNNNNNNNNNNNNNNNNNNNNNNNNNNNNNNNNNNNNNNNNNNNNNNNNNNNNNNNNNNNNNNNNNNNNNNNNNNNNNNNNNNNNNNNNNNNNNNNNNNNNNNNNNNNNNNNNNNNNNNNNNNNNNNNNNNNNNNNNNNNNNNNNNNNNNNNNNNNNNNNNNNNNNNNNNNNNNNNNNAGGCAAUGAUUUCAGGAACUUUCUCUAUAAUCCAUCAAUCACUCUCCCUAGGGUGUUUCCCUCGAGUGAAAGUUGUCCAUACUUCCACCAAGUAUGAAGGACAAGUCUACAUUCCUGAGGUUAAUUACCUGCUGAUGUUGGCUUGUGUUGGGGUUACUGCUGGUUUCAAGACCAGUAACAAUAUCGGCAAUGCAUAUGGUAACCCACACAACUUUGCAUAAUUUACACAUCUGUUCAAUGUGCAAAUACACGCACACACAUACAUACAUAUUAGUAAUGACUCUUGACAUCAUCUUUCUAUAGGGAUUGCGGUGAUAUUUGUAAUGAGUCUGACAUCAUCUUUGUUGGUUGUCAUCAUGAUAAUGAUAUGGAAAACCAACAUCCUUUUGUAAUUGCCUACGUUCUUACCAUCGGUUCCGUGGAGCUAAUCUAUUUGACUUCUGUUCUGUACAAAUUUGAUCAGGGAGGAUACUUGCCAUUGGCCUUUGCUGCAGUUUUAAUUGCAGUGAUGUAUAUUUGGAACAAUGUUUAUCGGAGAAAGUACUAUUACGAGCUCGAUCAUAAGGUUUCUUUUGAAAAGUUGAAGAUGAUAACUAGAUAACGCCAAAUUUCAGUAAGAAUUCCAGGACUUGCCAUGUUUUACUCAGAGCUUGUUUCAUGGUAUCCGUCCCUCUUCGAGCAUUAUUUUGGAAAAUGCUAUCAGCAUUGCACUCUGUCCUUUUCUCAUCCUCCAUCAAAUCACUUACCAAUUUAGCAAGGUUUCAAUUGAAGAAAGAUUUCUUUUUCGAAGAGUGAACCAAAGAAGCCAAUGUCUUCCGUUGUGUCGUUAGAUAUGGGUAUUACAGAUGUGCACAAUGAAGCGAGACAGUUUUGAGAAGACUUUUCUUAGAAAGAUUGAAAGGAGUUUAUCCAAAAAGACACUUGGUUAACUCAAAUGCAAGCCUAAUAUGGGGCAACAAACUGAAAAGGGGCCGAAUUGGAAGAUGAAUUUGCAGAAACAACAGGAUGAAACAUCGAUCAAGAAUAUAAUGCAAGUGGGAGAAGGUGAUCAAGAAGAGAAAAUACGUAAAGAUAUUGAAUUAGUGGAGCAAGCAUGGCAAGCUGGUGUUGUUCACUUGGUAGGUGAGACUGAUGUGAUUGCAGGCAAAGGAGCUGGUAUAGGAAAGAAGAUUUUGAUAGAUUAUGCUUACAAUUUUCUAAAGAAACUUUUGAGGCGAACUGAUAAAGUGUUCGAAAUUCCUCACAACCAGUUGCUUAAAGUUGGUAUGACUUAUGAGCUUUAGAACAUUUGAUGGAAUGUGGGGUACUGGACUUGAGGAAUACAUGGUUGCAGCUCCAUUGAAGACCUGAAAAAACUUGUUACUUGUUUAUCCUUCCAGUAGUCUAAAGGGAGAAAUUAGGAGUAAAAGAGUAGUUCUUGUUUUAAAUAAUAAAUAAACUCCACAAGGCAAAUGGGAAGCAUGUUAAUUAUGGGGUAAUAUUUAUAUGUACUUUGAAAUGUUUUACUUAUAUUGUAAAUAUAUAUUGUAUGUGUGCAAUAGUAUUAUGAAUAUCAAUCCAGUUUUAUCAAUUUACAAGUUACUUUAAGCAAGAUUUGAAUAUCGAAACAGCGGUCCAUCUUUUUAUUGUUAAACUAUUUUUUUUUCAUGUGUUUUGCAAGUAAUUUUCCCAUGAAAAAUUUGUAUUAACUUCUUUUUUAUAUUAAAAAAUGAAUGAAUACGAACUCAAUUCUUUAAAUAAAAAAUAUAUAAAUCAAAUCAUUAAGUUAAAUAUUGAACCAUGCUUUUAAUUUAUUAAUAUCAAUAAGAUUAUGUAGGACAAAAUUAACACAACUCAUUGAUAAAAAAACAUUGAAAAAAAAGAAAUAAAAAACUAAAUAUAAGAUAUAUAUCAACAACUUCUUUAAUUUGAGUUAAAAAAAGUAAACUAUUGUCAUCUAUGAAGAAUAUAUGUAUAUUAAACAAAUAGUAUUUUAUAAAUAUUAAAACAAAAUAAAGAAAAAAUUGUAAAUUAAUCAAAUUUACUAAAUAUUUGCACAUUGUUUGAUUCGGGGAUCAUUUGAAUCCCACUGACAUUUCGUUUCAGUGCAGUUUUAAUCCUUUUUUUAUUCAAUAACACUAUUAUAGUGUUUGGAGAGUGAGGCACGUUUGCCUCCAGUUCUCUACCGGAUGUUUUAGGUCCAACAAGAAUAAUUUCAUCUAUUACGUGUCGUUCUUCCAACUUUGCCCAUAAUUUUUCAUUUUUUUUUUCUAUUUUUACCUUUAAAAUUUAAUAGUUUUUGGACAAAAUAUCGAUACAAAUUUUUUUGUUUUUCAUUUUUAUUUUUUAUUUAAAAAAUAUUGAAAUAACUUUUGUGAUUUACUGUAAUAAAUAAAAUUUAUUAUUAUAUAAUAAAUUAAUAAAUACUAUGUAUUAAUGUUUUGAUUGAAAAUAAAAAUUUAAGAUUUUAAAUAAUAUAAAUAACAUUAAAAAUGCAUAAAAAUAAAUUAUCAAUACAUUUUUAGAAUAAAAUUUUUAAUGAUAAUUUUUUGAUUCAAAUGCUGUUAAUUUAGCUAUGUUUUUUCGAUACAAAUACUGUUAAUUUAGUGACGUUUUAUCAUAUAAACACCACUAUAUUGCGAUAUUUUUUUAAUAUAAACAUCACUAAAUUAACAGUAUUUUUCAGAUACAAACGUUUUAAAAUAACGAUAUUUUAUAAAAAAUAUCGUUAUUUUCUCUUAUAUGUGUAUAACCGAUACUCUUACUAGUAUUUUUUGCAAACGUCGCAAAUCUUUUAUUAACUUUCAUAAACACUGCUAAAUGUUAAAAAAAAAUCACUAAAAAUCUAAACUUCUGUAGUGGUUAUUGUUGCUUUUAUAUUUAAAUAUAUAUAUAAUUAUUGAUUUUAAUCUUAUCAUUACAAUAAUAAAUUUUACUUUCACCAUAAUUUUCAAUCUUACCAACCAUACAAAUGGACCCUGAGAUAAAUAUAUUAAAAAAGUAAGUUUAAUCCCUAUUUAUCACAAAUUUAUUUGUAGCUGUCUUAUUAAUAUGUUAUCAUUAAAAAAUUGUUGCAUAAAAAUUUAGUGAUAUUCUUAUUCUAGAAUUUUGCAAGGAAUGAGAGAAUCCAUGAUAUUUUAUGUAUGUAUGAUUGCGCAAAAGUAAAAUUUUAAUUAAAAUAUCUAAUAGUUCCUUAGGUUUUGGAAAAUGGUAAAGUUUAAUAAUUAAUUAAUGUCACAUCCUGGGUGUUAUUAUGGGUUUUUAAUGUUAUUCUUUUUAGCAUUGUGUUAACAAUAUGGAAUGAAAUAAAAUAAAAUAUAUUUAAAAAAAACCUAUUUGUAAUAUAUAAAUUCAUAUCAUAUAUAUUAUGUUUAAAUAAGUAAUAUAGCAAACAAAAAUUGAUAUAGUUUAACAGAAUAAUAAGUUUGUGUUCAAUAAUGUAACUAAAAUAAUUUGUUGUUAAAAACAAAAUAAUUGUCUAUUAUUAAGUUAUCCAAAUCUGUUAUGGUAAGAAAGACUCUGGUUUCAACAAUUUAAUUUUAUACUUUUGUAAUAGUAAUGCAAAAAAAAAAAAAAACGGUAUUAGUAAGGUCCAAAUAACAAAAAUAAUUACGUUUUUCAGGUGAUAGAAAAUAAGAAAUUUUUUUGGUAAUCUAAAUGGUCUCUUGCAUUGAAGGCUGGAACUUUGUGGUUAGUAAAUGAAAUUCAUUGUUUUGAGUUGAGGAAUAACAAAGAAUAAUGUCAAAUUCAAUGAAAAAGGUAUCUGAUUGACAUAAAAGCUACCUUUUGGCAUUCUAACAUAAAACUUAAAACGUUUGGGGAAAUAGAGUUUAAUAAUAUAUUUAUUAUUAUUAAUUAGAUUUAAAAAGGAGGAUAGGUUGGCUUGAAUAAGUAAAGCUAACCAAUAGAAAUACAAAACAAUGUCCUGUUGUAAAAAAAAAAAAUGCGGAUUUACCGUGUUAAAUGUCACAAUUCUAGAGUCCUGCAAAUAAAAAUAAUAUAUUGUUAGAUGUAUGGAUCCCAAAUAAAGAUACAGUUUGAUCUUUUGGGUGCAUGCUUGACAAUAUUUAUUAUGCCAUGGACAAAUGAAGAAGAGAUUAGACAUCUAAAAUAAUGUCACUCAAGGACAGCCUUUGUGCUUCUUCAAUUAUAUCAUUCAUCAACUUGUUUAGUUGUUAAUAGAACCACAUUCCAACAUGUUAAAAUAUAUAGUGGCAAAAUUGGUGAGUGCCGAUAUCCCCCUUUGUAUAUAAAUUCCAUCCCACCCUCACAUUUGGGAGCUAUGGCUCUUGAUCGAUCUUCACAUACCCUAUAUAUAUAUAUAGCCCUUUCAUAUUCCCCAACCCCUAAUUUGUCUGUCAGAGAAAAGAGAUAAAAACAGGGCUUGGUAUUGGCGUUCCUUGAUUUUUUAUAAAAUUUUCUUAUGCUUGAAGCUUCAUUGUUCUUUAUAUCCGGAUGUCUAGUUUUGUACAAGAAACUAUUGAAGAAACCCACGAGGAUGAGGAGCUGGAAUCAAAUGAUUAUGACACCCAUGAGAAAGCUUCUGAAGGGAAAAAAACGCUCGUUCCAAAAGCAGCGCAGAUACGAUUCCCUGGACUUGGAAUCCGAGCCGUGGUUCAGAACCUUCACGGCCAUAGCUCUCAGGUAUGUAUAUAUAUAUAUAUAUAGAAUGUAGAUGAUAUCCGCGCGCCCCCACUUUCUUUUCACUUACCUUCGAGGCCAAAAAAAACACAAAAGAAAAGAUAAAAAAAACUUUUUAACAUUGAAAAAUAAUUUCAUUUUUUUAAUGUAAUGUAAUGUGAGUUAAUGUGAAGGGUGUUGAAUGGUGGGUGAUCCUGCAACUAGCAUUCCAGAGCAAUGGGGUAGUAUACGGAGAUAUAUGUUCAUCGCCACUUUAUGUUUAUGCAAACCCCUUUGGGAAUGGUAUAUAUCACAGCGAUGACAUAGUGGGAGUUGUUUCUUUGAUCUUCCAUACCAUUACUCUCAUCGCUUUGAUCAACUACGUCUUCAUUGUCUUUCGAGCCAAUGAUAAUGGUGAAGGUAAGUAAGAAUAUUAUUAACAACUUUAAUAAUUGAGCUCUGAUGUGCUACGACUAGUACUAAAGUAAGUUGACUUUUACUAUAGAUCAUAGCAAACUGUAUCUUUUAUUGAUAUGUUACUAGCCAAAUACCAAUAAUAUUUUGUGUGUUUGAACAACAUAGCAUGGGUUAGAAAUUUGGGAGCCAAAGAGAAGAUGAUCUCAUAUUGUAUUAGUCUUAAAAAAAAUAAUCACGCGUGAUUAACGUACGUUAGCUUGAACAAUCUGAGAGAGAACUUUACUGGUUAAGUUGCUGAGUUCUUUUUCUUCAUGUUGAAUUAAAAAAUCCAGUUGACGUUGAAUUACAAAAUUAAUCGGUUCCUUAAAUUCCACAGAAAAGUACGUAGUUAAAUUAAAAGAAAAAAAAAAACUAUUUGUAGGCCAUAUAAAAGUUUGGUGGGGGGGGAACCUUCUUAAACCUAUGUUCAUCUAACUACCCAUGAAUCCACCGACAGAAACUACGUUGCCGAUGUAAUUCUUAAUGAACGGAGCAUUAUUUAAUGGCAGUUUAAGAAAAAAAUCAGAAGUAUAAAAAAAGAAACUUUUGACUUGCAUUAUUUAUUCUAGAAAAGUAUUAGUAUACAUAUUUUUUUAAUAUUUAAAAUUAUCAAAAUUUAAAAUUUGAAAUUAAAAAUUUAAUAUUUUAUCAAUAAAUCGUAUAGUUGUUAACGCUUUAUCAUUAAUUUUUCAUUACCUUCCUUUUCAAUUUGUUUUGUGAAUGUGCUCUGAUCUUCACAAGCAUGUUGAAACAUAGUUAAUGACUUUUUUUGUGAGACUUCAAAAAAACAAAAAAAGUGUGCCGCAAUAUUCCACUAUAACAGUGGUGGAGUCAUCAUUCUUUGUUAUGUAAUCAGGUUCACUACUAAGGUAUUAAAAACAAAUUAAAAUAGAUGGAAUCAAGAUUCAAGAUCUAAGUCUUAUGAUAAUUUUGCUAUGCAUAUACUAUAAUCCAAUCUCACUUUCAGCAAAUUAAAAUGGACGGGAAGAAUUAUGUCGUUAAUUGACGUUUUUCAGGAGGGACAUUUGCCAUGUACUCGCUAAUGUGCCGAUAGGUGCGAGUUUGGUCCCUAGUCAAGUAGCAGAGGAUCGUGGUGUAUCCAAUUUCAAGCUGGAAUUGCCCAACAAGAGUAUUGAAAGGGCAUACAAAAUCAAGUCUAUGUUGAAGAACAGUCAGUUAGCCAAAAUUUUUCUCUUGAUCAUCAUGAUGCUUGGCACUUCAUGGUCAUUGGCGAUGGUGUCCUCACCCCUUGCAUGUCAGGUUAACUAUAUUUUUUGUACUUUCAUACCAUUCAUUGAUAUAUCUAUAUAUAUAUAUAUAAAUAUAUAUAUAUAUAUAAUGGCUUAUUUGUUUUAUCAAUUAAAAGCAUUUAAUUGCUAUACAUAUUUUAACACUUAAUUGCUGUUUUGUCAGCUGUGGAUGGCAUCAAGGAAGCUACAGCUGCAGUGACAGAGGGUAUAUGUACUUAUUUUAUUGCAUCUAACUCUUCCCCUGCCAUGAAAUUGAAAAUAAAACUGAUUUGAUUUUUGUCUUUUCUUGAAACAAAAGGCAAGCUGCUCAUAAUAAAGAUAUUUGGUGCAAACAGAUAGGAUUGUUUGGAUGUCAAUAGCUAUCUUGCUCUGCCUCUUCAUGGUUCAAAGAUUUGGAACCUGACAAAGUGAGCUACAGCUUUGCUCCCAUAAUUUGGGUUUGGUUUCAUUCACUGGUGGAAUAGGAGUUUACAACUUCAUCAAAUUUGAUCCAACAAUCAUCAACAUAAACCCAAAAUACAUUGUACACUACUUUCGGGGAAAAAAUGAUGCAUGGGUCUCCCUAGGUGGGGUCGUUCUUGCUAUAUCAGGUUCCAAAAUUUUGCUCCCUUAGUAAUUCAAUUUAACUUUUUUUAUUGAAGGAGUUGUUAAAUAUUACUAGUUACAAACUUACGCUUCGAUACACUUCGAUGCAGGGACAAAAGCAUUGUUUACUGAUGUUGGCCAUUUCAUAGUUCGUUCCAUACAUAUAAGCAUGGGCACUGUGAUCUACCAAGCUCUGUUACUGGCCUAUAUUGGACAGGCCUCCUUCCUUCGUUUAAGUGAAAAUAGAAGUCAAGCCCAGGGAUACCCAAUGUUCUUCUAAUUUGACUUUUCUUUGUAUAUAUAUCUUACUAAGGUGGCAAGUUGUGACUUGUGAUAUGCAGGCCCUUUGUAUUGGCCAAUGUUUGUGGUGUCUGUGGCUGCUGCAAUUAUAUCAAGUCAAGCAAUGAUUUCAGGGACUUUCUCUAUAAUCCAGCAGUCACUCUCGUUGGGGUGUUUUUCUCGUGUCAAAAUUGUUCACACAUCAGCCGGAUAUGAAGGACUGUAUUCCUGAGGAGAAUUACGCUGAUGCUAGCUUGUGUUGGGGUUACUAUAGGUUCCAGGACCACAGAAAAGAUUGCCAAUGCAUAUGGUAAUACUCAAGACUCUGGUUAUGCUUUUAACUUAUAUUUAAUUCACAUUAAUACAAUUAAUUAUAUUUUUUUCAUUUUGCAUCGGUCAGUCUUCUAAUUACCUGAACUUAAGCAUUAAAAUUAAUAAGAAGUAACUGCAUACCGGGGUUGCGGUGGUGUUUGUAAUGACUCUAACAUCAUCCUUGUUGGUUCUCAUCAUGAUCAUGAUAUAUAAAACCAAUAUACUUUUUGUAAUCGUUUAUGUUCUUCUCAUUAGCUCUGUGGAGUUAGUCUAUUUGAGCUCUGUUCUCUACAAACUUGAUCAAAGAGGAUACCUGCCUCUAGCUUUUGUAGUAGGCCUGAUGACCGUGAUAUAUGUUUGGAACAGUGUAUACCGAAAAAAGUACAAUUUUGAGAUAGAUCACAAAAUCUCUCUUGAAAGGCUAAAGGAGAUAAUUACUGCCAACACAAACUUGUGCAGAAUUCCUGGACUUCCCAUGUUUUACUCAGAGCUAGUUCAUGGUAUUCCACCCAUUUUCGAGCAUUAUGUGGCAAAUGUACCAGUAUUGCAUUCGGUCCUUAUUUUUGUCUCCAUGAAAUCACUACCAGUUAGCAAGGUUGCAGCAGGAGGCUGAUUUCAUUUUAGAAGAGUAUAACUAAAGGAGUUAAAUGUCUUUCGUUGUGUUGUUAGAUGUGGAUAUACAGGUAUACGUAGUGAACAAUAAUCCUUUGAGUGGACUUUAGUUUGAAAGAUUGAAAGAGUUUAUCAAAGAAAAUAUAUGGUUGUCUCAUGCACUAGUUACUAAUGGAAAGACAGCUUAAAGGGUGAGGAAUCGGACAACAAACUACUUAACAGAGAGGAUGAAGAAGAUCAGAUCAAUGGGAGGCAAGUUGAAGAGGAUUGGCAAGAGACAGCGGAGAGAGAAAUAAGCAUAGUGGAUAAAGCAUGGGAAGCUGGUGUUGUACACUUGGUUGGUGAGAGUAAGGUGAUUGCCGGCAAAGGAGGAGGAAUAAGGAAAACGAUUUUAAUAGAUUAUAUAUGCUUACAAUUUCCUGAAGAAAACUUGAGACAAAGUGAAAAAGUCUUUGAUAGCCAAAAAUUUUUUACGUGGAAAUUAAUUAUUAUUUUGUAUGAAUUUAUAUUUAUAUAUUAUCAUACAAAUUGAAAAAGUGUUUGAUAAUUAAAAAUUUUUUACGUGAAAAUUAAUUAUUAUUUUAUAUGAAUUUAUAUUUGAUAUAUUAUCAUAAAUUUUAUAUCCAAAAAAUUCUUGUUUGGUAGCCAAAACACUAUGAAAUUGCAUUAGAUUAAAAAAAAAACGAAAACAAAAUUGAAUUAUAUAUGCUCAGUAUAAAGUUGUAGAUUUGGUGUGUUUCACUAACUCCAGCUUAAGUCAUUGGGCAUAUCUCAUUGGUACACGUCUCGUUAAGCCUAGAGGCUAGAUGUGACAGGCAGGGCUCAUAUAUGAAAUCAUGAUCGGCCAUAUCCAGCAGACGGCGACUCUUUCCAUGCAUACAUCAGUUAUGACACCAAGCAAGCAGGAGAAUUCCAUUACUUUAAUUUAGACCCUUGCUCCAACUCUAAUUCAUGAAGAAGAAAAGAGCGAAACUGACAAUUACCUUUUCCAAGGGAGAAAAUUUCAUUACAAAGUAAAGCAAUAGGUUUUCAAAAUUUAUUUGCUGUUUGAAAUCCUUGUAUGAUCUUCUUUUUUUUAAUUAUCAAGAAAAAGAAUCAAACACUAUCUUUUUCUUUUGUUUUUCUCUCAGGCUGUAUCUUUCAAACUGGUUGAACAAGAAGUUUCAAAUGAGAAACCCUUAGAAAAGCCUAAUUAUCUACUCUCUCCGUAAUUUCUUUAAUUCUCUAAUAUUAAUUGUCUGCAUCUGCCAACAACCUAUAAACAGAACUUCCAAAACCUUGACUUUGAAUCAUCUUCAGUUUGGCGAAAACCAUUCAAUCCAUUUGAAUAUAUAUUGUAUAUAUUAUUAUUAUUAAAAAAAAUUAAUGGCAGCAUGAUCGAGACCUGAUGGGGGUUUUCACGAUAAAACAAAAAUAUGUCCAAAUACUAACUGGGUUCCAGGAUCUAGAACUUUCAGAGACAAACCCUAACCUUGGAUAAUUAAGUAUGACUAUUUUGGAAAGGGCAAAUGAAGAAAUGAAAAAAAAGCUGUGUAGGUGCGGCCGGAGUUACUCUAUAUUUCACUGACCAGUAUGGUGUCAGAACACUUUGAGAAAUAUAUGGCAUAUAUAGAGCAGAAGCACAAGGCAUGUCUUAGCUAUUAACUCUAAUAAAGGAUUGAGGUGAUUUCUUUGUGGUAGAUCUAUUACGUAGCCAGUGUUAGAUCUAUUAUGUACCAGUGAGAAAGAAAACCUCGCUAUAAAGUUCAUGAAACAGAAGAUGAAAACCCUUACAAUCUUGACUGUAUUCUUCAGCAUUCCCAUUCUAUAUUUAUGCAUCAAACUAUAAAAGAUGCUAAUUGUAAUAGUUAAAGAAUUCAGCUCAAAAAUCGAAAUUAAGUAAGCAUAAACCAAACCCUAAAUUUUCAUACACAAAUUGCCAACUUAUGAACUAAUCAGAUAGGCUGCUGGUUGUCUAACAAAAUACCUGCAAUAAAAACUCAAUAAUUCACGGAGAAACUUCCAAGAACUAGCUUCAAUAUUUCUACCAGUUCUCUUAAGCUGAUAUUAGUCAAUCAGAAAACAAACUCUUGAUUUUAAGCCCACACAAGAAAUGUAAAAGAUUUACCACAUUUACCCCUCCAAACCCGUAGCCCUGAUGCCUUAAUUAUUAUCAUGCCUAUAUUAUCAGAAACAUAGAGUACUUAAUUUAAAAUUAAGUCUGGAAACAAGCAAUUACCACGCUUUAUAUCUUUCAAAACGGUUUGGAAAGGGAGCUAUUACUCCUCUCAAUUGAACUUAAAUGGGGUUGAUGGAACCGCAGAUGCAGAUCUCCUUGGCAGUUCACCUCUGUAAUUUGUUGUUUCUUCAUUUUCUUCGUGGUUUCCAGACCUAUUCUGGUUAGCUCUUUCUCCUUCCUGUUCCCUAUACCUAUGCAAAUACCUUUUUAAUUGCUCAGCGUAGUUAUCAAACCCUAGAGUUGCGAGUGCCCAACAAAUGUCAUCCCCAUUAACAGUUUUGCGCUUUCCUUGUGACACUUGUCAGAUGCCUCUCCCGUAACAAAGCUAAUAAACUCGGAUACACAUUCUUGCAUGGUUUCUUUAGCUUCUUUGGAGAUCUUUGCGUUAGGAGGUAGAAUCUGCUUCAUGAUUCGCCCAACGUUAGCUAUCGGAAGCAACCGAUCUUGUUCCUUAAUGAUGCCAUCCUCACCUGAGACAUCGCCGGCACCUUCAAAGCUGUACUUAUGGCCUUCUCUAUCUAUAACAAUGUUUAUUUUAUCGGUCAUAUCUGUAAAAUGUGAAGAUUAAGAGAAAUUAAUAUUUCGUUAAACUUAAACACGUCGUUUCUAAUUAUUAACUCGCAAAUAUAUAUAUAUAUAUUUAUGUAUGUAUGUUUAUGCGUGUGUAUAUAUAUAUAUAUAUGUAAAUGAUAAAAUGGUAAAGAUUGUUUCUCAUGAUGUGGCAAAUCGUAAUGCAAACUGGUCAACAUAUAGAAGACCCAAAGGCAGGCAAUUUUCCAUUGGUGGUGCGAGUUAGGGUUUUCCUUUAAAAUAUAUAUAUAAGUACUGUCCCUUACGGGACUUGUGGGAGCAAUCUAAACCUUGAAAGGUAUUGAGAAACUUAUCAAUUAUAUACAAUGGUCCCCCUUCUUGGUUCUUAACACUUAGUGCUCUCAAUAAGUUUCAAACUGAAACUUAAAAAAAUGCUGCAGAUUUGAAAUUUGUGGACUAAAUAAGGUUAAAAUAUUAAAAGAAUUCUUGAAUUUUAUCACUUUAUUUAGAUAAAUUUCUAUAUUUUUCUUGUAUUCAAAUAAGUUUUUUCUUUAAUUUGUAUUCAAGUAUGCCCUUAUUUUAAAUAAAAAAUUAAUGUAUAUUAAAGAUUUAUUUAGAUAUAAAUUAAAAGAUAAAGGUUUAUUUUUAUAUAAAUUAAAGUUUAAGAAUAUAUUUGGGGUGUAAAGUAAUUAAAGGUUAAUUAUUUAUUUUAGUGCAAUAAAAAUAUAGGUGCUUAUCUAAAUAAAGUAAUAAAAUUCAGAAUUUUUAUUAUUAUUUUAGCCUAAAUUAAAACAAUAAAGUUGAAUUACCGACUAUUUAGGUUUUUACAUGUGAUUAUUUUACUCUUCCAGACAAGAAAUUAUUUUUCUUUUUAAUUGUUAAAUUUAGGUAGGGUACUCCUGAAACUAUGGACUUCGUGUAUGAUGACCAAUUAAAGGCUACAAAUAUAGGGUCUACACGAGGCAUUUGGUGGAAGAUUGAUCCAUUGAUAAUCAAAAGAACUUCUUAUUUGAUGCAAGUUCAUUAACAGGUCAUUCAUCUUGAUGAUCAUUAUGCUUUGUUAAACCAUCCCCAAACCCAACACUAUGAAUACGACUUUGGUUUACUUAUUAAUUAAAGCAGCCUAUAGCUUUAAGCGUGAGCUUUAAGUUCUUAUUUAUUGAUUGAUUGAAAGUUGUUCACUUAUGUAAACUAAUAAUAAUUAUUAGAUGCUUAUUCAUUUGGAAUCAGACGUCAUUAUUCUUUUAGAUUUCAUUUGAAUGGAUGAUGAAAUUAAAAAUAGUAUUAAACGUUAUUAUAGUUGUUAUUAAAAAAAAAUGAUUGUAACAACAAUUAAUGAGAAAUUUAUAUUAAAUGAAUUUUAUUAGAGUUGACAUUUGGAUUCAAUUAAUAAUGUAAUAAGCUCAAUCGCACUACAUUGAAAGUGUUGUAAAAUCUAAACCUAAUCUUAUAAAAUUGAAUAUUAGUAAAACAAAAAAAUCAUGGAUCAUAAAUAGAAGUAGGGCAAAUAUUAAAAUAUCUUAGAAGCUAAUUGAAAUUUUCAACUAAUUUUUUUUAGAUAUUUUUAGUGAUAAUGUUAAACAAGUAUCAAGAGUUUUUUUAUACAUAAAUUUACAAAUAAAGUUUCAAAAAAGGAAAAAAGAGAGAGAGAAGAUUUUCAACUUGAUGCUUCUAUUAGAGAAUUAAUAUGUGUAUCUAACAGUUAGAUUGUCUUAAUUACCCUUAGUUGCUAUGGCUUUGUCAAGGGCAAAGUGCUUGAUAAAUGGAAUUAAAUACUAGGUUUAACGAAAGAAAUUAUAGCAUUUUUCUGUUGAUUUCCUAGGCAAGUCGGGAAAAAUGUACAAAAUCAAUUGGCAAAAGGAUAAGUUGCCUAAAUUAGGAUCAUGCACACUUUGACAGGUCGUUAGAGUAAUAAAACUACCAAUUUAGGUCACUAAAGGUGGGCAAUCUAUUUCUUUAAUUAGAUUUUAAAACAUGGAGGGUAAUAAAGAAAAAUACACUGUAUUUUUUUCUUAUUAAAGAUUUGUCAACUAUAAAAUCAGAUUAAAAUGCUUGAAAGUCGAAUAGAAAGAAAAAAAAUACUGCCUUGAUAAUUAUUAAUGAUAUUAAAGAAUUGACUUAGCCAAAAAAAAAAAAAAAAGGAAAAAAUACAGCGACAAAGCAUGCGAAUCAACAGUUUGAAAAAAGAAAUUCGUGUGCACACCUUUGUAUAUAUUCCCCUUAUAACUAGAUGUAUUAUGUAUUGUCAAAGAGAAUAUAUCCCUUCCUUAAUUUAAUGUAAUUCCCAGGACUGGCUUGGCAAUGGCCAAUCUUCUGCGUCAUGCGUGAGAUCACUGUUAAGAGAACAUGAUUUGGUGGUCCAUGGUUACUAAACAAAUACAUGCUUUUGCUCUUAGUCAUGAGGCGCUUGAACAAAAGCAGAGAAAAGACAUACUCAUGGCCAUCUUAAACUCACUUUCACUUUUAAAACUUUAGUCUACUUUAAAAUUAGAUCAAUUUAUUUUCUCAUGUUUCAGCUCUCAUCAUUUCAUGAGUUCCAUUCAUAUAAGCCUAGCUACAGCUUGCCAAAAAAAUUAACUGUGCUUUCCUUUUGUGCCAUUUUUUUGUUUUUAAAUUUAAUACUAUUAUUUAUUUAAAAUUAUUUUACUUCAGCUUUUACAAUAACAUAAUUAUGCAUCAAACGCAAGCCCUAAAAAAUCGAGAAGCAUAUAAAAUAUGAAAAGUCUCAACAAACUUAAUUCAAAUCCAUUUUCUUAGGUUCAUCUUUCCAAACAUAGCAAGAAUAUUAUUAUUUAUUGAUUAGAAAAAUUAUUAAUUAAAUAUAAAAUGUUAUAGCUCCCAGAAUUUACUAUUUGAAGAUUUGGACUUAAGAAGGAGCUAGGGAUUCUCUAUCAAAAGUAGGGGGUUACAAGGAAAUUUAAUGUAGAAAGGAAAAAAAAAUAUUGACCCAAGAGUCUUUUAUGGUUUUUGAGGACCUCAAAGAAAGUUAAACGUUCUAUAAUUCUCCUCUUUUUAGGGGCCAAUCCUUCCCACUUUCGUUUAAGAAUCUUCUUUUCAUCUGCUGUAGUGGGCAUCUUAUUAGCUAAGCAUAUUUGAAUCUGCAGCUUUGUUACAGUAGUAAGAAUUAGAGAGUACUAAAUACUUAUGCUAAAAUGUUAAUUUACAUCAAAGGAAUAGAAAUUGUCUUCUUUCAUAUUCAACUCUUAUAUACAGUAUGACAUAUAUGACCAAAUUUGCCUGCUUUUGGAAUAUGUCUUUUCUGAUGUUUGUGUUCUUUUGGUGCCGCACUGCUACACAAAAAAAUCCUUAGUUAAUUACUGGAUGCUUGAGCUCUAAUAUUUGUUUAUUGCAGGGUACCUUGUUUUAUGGCAAAGCUCUAUUAAUUUCACGAAGAUUAGAUUCUGGAAAAGAAAUACGGUUAAUUAACUGUUUGAUCUGCUGCGCAUGAAUGAAAGCUAAUCGGGAAAAUCAGAUAAAGGAGUCAAUCACUCAACUGCAUAUAAUUUAAUUAUUUUCUGGUACACUUUUUUUUUUUCUUAAAGAAAGAACGAUCAUCACUGCAACUAAAUGAAAUGGAUACCCACCAAAAUCCUACUUGAUUGCAUGUUUUACCGGUAGGAAUGAUAAUAUAUAGGAAAAGAUGAUGUCAUUGAUUAUUUUGAACCUCUAAACUAGUUUCAACUCAGAAACCUCACAUAUAUAUAUAUAUAUAUAUAUAUAUAUAUAUACACAUCCCUACUCUCUCUAACUCCUUCCUAAGAAAAAAAAAUGAUUGGAGAGAAAAUUACCUUUAUUAAGGAUAUACAGGAGCAAAACCAAGAGCAGAGUGAGAGUGAGCAUAAGUCAAGUUCAAUGGAUUUGGUCGAUUAAAAUCGAUUAAAUUUGGUCAAGGUUAUGAAAAGUUCUACAACUUUUGCCAAAAAUAUAUAUUACAAUGAUUAAAAAUAACUACAAAGAUUAUCAAAUUACAAAUGUUAUAAAAAACACUAUUAUUGUUAUCAAAUUUCUUACAUAAGUUACUAAAAACACUACAAAAGUUACCAAAAAUAUUAUAAAAGCUUCCAAAAUCUGACAAAAGUUAUAAAAAAAAAACCCACAAAAGUUACCAAAAUUUUUAUAGAAAGUACAAAAACACUAUAAAAAUUAUCUAAAUUCUUAUAAAACUUACCAAAAAUACUACAACGGUUACGAAAAUUAUUAUAAAAGUUAUCAAAAUAUUACAAAAGUUAGCAAAAUUACUCCCAAUAUAUAAUGCUGAAAAUCUUGGGCCCUUACAUGUGUAGUCAAAAUGCGCCCUCCUUUAUUUGGAUUCACUGGUCCUCUUUUUGUUUCCAAAGAUGGGCAUAAAUUGGGUUUCAACUUAAAUGGAAAUAUAUGAAGAGCCCAUGCUAACUAUGUUGGGCUAUAUUACUUUAUGAUCCUUUCACCUAGUUCUUCGGUGGACUAUAAAAAAAUAAAAACAUAAUAUGUAAAUUGUUCCCUAAAUUAUAUCAUAUUUUAUAAUUUAACAUUUGUAAAAAAAAAUUGAUAUUUUGAUUUUUCUUUCAUCAAAUACUUUGUGUCAUUGAUUAAUGAUGUGAAGUAAAAUAAUGAUGUAAUAAACGUUGAUCAAUAAAAAUACGUCAUAUUUCAUGUUUUUUAUUUGUAGAUUUCAUAUCAUAUGAACAUAUUAUUAAUAAUAUUAAAGUUUAAGACAAAUGAUAUGAUAUAAUAAAAUUUUGAUAUCAAAUCAUAAAUUUUUUUUAAUAAUAUCAAAUCGUAAAAGUAUAAUAUAAUACAAAAAUAAAUUACAUAUUAACCCAUUAAAAAAAAAUUAUGGUACGUUGACUGUUGACCCUUUUCUUUCGGCCAAAAAUGGGUAGUGGAAGAAGAAGAAGCAUGACUCCAACCUCAUUUACGUUUGUUAAACUUUUUAAUGGCGUUGCCACCGCGGACCAUUAAUUAUAAGUACGGCCCAUUGUUUUGAGAUUAUGGCUACAAAUCAUGGGAUUGGCCGAUCGAUAUGAAACGAUGGGCCAUCCGCUAUUGUAGCGCAGCAGCACUGAGAAAUACAAAAGACAAGUCAAAUUUUCCUUGUCAUACAACACGAUCACAGCCGUACACUUAAGGGGCCCCAAGGCUUUUGCAUGUUGAUAAACUCUGUUCGAUAAAUGAUAAUUCCAAACAUUUUUGGAUGGUGGUUUUUAUGGGGGAAAAAAAAGGGAAAAAAAAAAUUCAAACGGUGUCUUUGGGAACACAUUUUGACUCUUAGGUGGAUCUCUCAGACUCGAAACAGUUCUUCCCUUGGGGAUCAAACAACAGGGUGGGGGCUCCUUUAUUUCUUUCCAUGGAUUUCAUUUCAUUUAUUCCAAAUAAAACACAUACUCCAAUAUAUUUUUGCAUUUUAUUUAAUAACAAUCCACAAUGUUAUGUUCUUUCCUUUUCCCUGUACGGUUUUGGUUUCAAUGAUCUCUCCCCAAAGGACCACGAGUCUAAUUCACCUACCAAUAAUUAAACUCUAGAAACUCAAAAUCUCAAUACCUAUUGUCGAAUUUUAUGCCAUUUUUUAUAACUAUAAUAAGAAAAAUCCGAUAAACUUAACGCAUGACAAAGUUUAUAUAAAUUAUAUAAUUAAAGUUUAUGAAGUUUUUUAUUAAAAAUAAAUAAAUAAAAAAUUUAAAUUAAUAUAUUGAUAGAGUUUAUAUGAAUAUUAAUAAAUAUAAAAAUAUUAUUUAUAAUUUAAAUUUAAUCGAUAGUUAUUUAAUAAUAAAAAUUUUGUUAAUAUUUUUUAUAAAAAUAUUUAUAUACUAAAUAUAUCAAAAUGCAUUAAAAUUUGUUUAAAAUUUAUACAUUUGAUUUAUAUUAUAAAAUUUUUUAAUUUAUUUAUUUUUAAUAAAAAUUUUCAUGAAUUUUACUUAUUAAAUUUUAUAUAAGUCUUUUUUAGACAUAGUAUACAAGUUUUGUAUCCUUGUUUCUAAUGUAUGACUAUUCUCAUUAACAACCAUUACACACGAUAGAGAAAACCCUCUUUUUUAUCUAGUUUUUAGGAAAUAUUAAUAUGCUAGAAUAUAAUUUUUGCAUUUUCCCAAAAUCAUUUUAAAGCAUGAGAUGAAUAGUUUUAAAAAAUUACAAUAAAGGGAAAAAAAACUGUUUUCAUUUCAACUGUUUAAAAUAAAACAUCGUAAAUUAUAUAAUUUAUUAAUAAAAGAAUGAUUUAAUUACGAACCUCAACAUUUGAUUCGAGAUAUCGCAAGUGAUUUAUUUUAUUUAUAUAUAAAAUUUGUAUUUCCCCUUAAUAACCCCUCUUUUUUUACUAUUGAAAAAAAAAGCCUAAUUAACUUUAUUAAUUUAUUAUUAAUUUGUUUUAUAUUUUACUUCUGUUGUCACUGUUUCUCACUGCCAAAACUUUUCCUGAGAGCAAAACAAAAUUGUGUUUUUAUUUGAAAAAAACCCAAAAACAUUGCCCUAAAAUUUCGAAAAUAGGAGUGUCAAAAAACAACAUAAAGAGGACAUAAAGUUGUCCUUUUUGGUCAUUUGGACCCAUGCAUCGAAUCGAAACCCAUCUACGAACGCGUGUGGUUUCAACUCUCAUAGAUCAAACCGAACACAAGCGUUAAUCCUUCUCUCUCUCGCUCUCUUUUUUUUUUUCUUCACAGCAAAACUAAAGAGAAUUUCUUUGCUUUCUUUGUCGUAUUGUUAUUCUCUCUCUUUCUCUUUCUCCUAAGCCCUCAAGAAUUCAACUUUUUCGUAUUCAUGAAAGCUAAGCUCUAUCUUACAAGGUAACAAAAAUCUUCUUUACUAUGUCUUGUUUCUUCUUUUCUUUUCUUUUCAUUUUUUUUUUGUUUUUGUACUUUUUUUUUGCUCUGCUUUUAUUUAUGGCUACAAGAAAAGAGUGAAGAGAGAAAAAAAAAAAAAGAGUUGACGAUCGAGGUUUACAGAUGUAUAACAAUGAAAACCCAUUUGUCCAGGUUGGUUUUGGCACGUGGGUUUUAACGUUCAAGUUCUUCUAUGAAGGUUAGCCAUAUGUUUUUAUGAAAAAAAAAUUGUUCUUUUACAUUUUUAUAGACAUUUCUUAUCAACCGUUUAUUAGUUAAUAUGUUUUUUCUUACUUUUUUCUGUAGUUGUUUAGUAUGUUUAAUCAAAAUCAAAUGGAGUUGCAUGUUAAUUUUCACUGAAUAAUGCACAAGUUUUCUUGAUUGAUUUCAUUAUUCUGUAUACUAUAUGUUUGAAUGAGAUCGUUUAGUAUUCUGUAUUGACAGCUAUGUGUUUUUGGGAUCGUUUAGAUUGGUUUUAUGUUGUUUUUUAUCUGUUCAAUCGGCAUGUGAACAUGUACCUUGGCAUUUGAAUAUCAGUAUCCACCUGCUUUUGGUUCUUGCUGUUGGUAAUUUAGAUUAUUAAAAUAUAAAUGUUGUUAUCUGUUUUAAUUGUAGUCAUAAGCUUCAUGCUUAAAUUGAGGGCCCUUAUUUUUUCCCUCGAGAAUUAUGUUUGAAAUUAUAUUCACCACGCUUGGUUUAAUUCUUGCUUAGCUAUUGGUUGUUUUGCAUUCGAUUAUUAUGAUCUUUUCUGAUGAACCUAGCCUGCACAAGUUUUUUUCCUUUUUUUUUUCCCUUUUGAUGAAUGUUUGUCUUGUUUCAUUGCAUUCAUAAAGUUUUUCAACACUGUUAUGAAUUCUCAAGGGUCCUACCUAAAUCCCAAGCAUAUGUAAAAAUGUUAGGAUUUUUUCCCGCAUUGAUUGCUGGAAAUUACUGAUGUUCAUACAUAAAAGGAUUCCUCUGUUUUUCAAGUUCCGUCUUUAUCUUGAAUUAAAAUAAAUAAUUUGGAGAAAUUAUAUUUGGCAUAUAUUGACUUUAGCAGUUCCAUGCAGGUCUAAGAGUAGAAAAUUGAUGCUGCAAGUACUUCUAUCUAGAAAUAUUGAAAUUCCCAUGCAUAAUGAUAGUUUUUCCAUCCAUAUAAGGAGCUUGCUAUGUUUGCAUUCAGGACCUGAUGAAGUAAAUUAGGGCUCCAGGGCUGGUUUUAUGCAGUCUUAUGUCCAUUUAAUUUUUUUUUUUUUUGCUCAAUUCUUGGGCAGAUGGACACUACUCUUUUGGAUAAUGGCAUGGAGGGCAUUGAAGAUGAAUCUGCUGAACAAUUACUUGCUUCAUGUUCCUUUUUGGAUGAAAUUUUUGGAGAUCCAUAUGUGAUUCCUCGUGUUGGAGAUCAAUACCAAGCAGAAAUUCCACCUCUAGUUGGAGAAUGUCGUAGUUUACAGGUUGUAAUGGAACCAAUUGACUCAAAAGUCAUAAUUAAUGUGCCAAACCUUUUUCCAAUGGGAUUGCCUAUCCCUCUUUUCUGGACAAAGACUGAAGAAAGUAUAAAUGGUGCAUUUGAAUUUGAAAACAGUGAAGAGAGCCACAUUACGUCAAGCCAUGGAUGUGCAGAAUAUAAAGUUGGAAGUCUAUAUUCUGUGUUGGGUGAUGGGAAAGACACGAGAGGGUAUGCAAAGCUUCAAGCUACAACCGGAACUAAGCUGGAUGUUGAUUUACUCUUUCCACAGGAGCCAAAUUCUAAGCUGAAUCUGGUGGAUAGAUGUCCUUGUCCUCUUCCAGGAUUUUCGAGUGAAGUAUGGAAGGAUAUUGAACUUGACAGUUUUCUUCUUGGGCUAUACAUCUUCGGAAAAAAUCUUAUCCUUGUGAAAAAUUUUGUUGAGAGUAAAGAGAUGGGAGAGAUAUUGUCUUUCUAUUAUGGAAAAUUUUACAGGUCUGACGGAUAUCGCAGAUGGUCAGAAUGCCGAAAGUUAAGAAGCAGACGUUGCAUUCAUGGAGAAAAGCUGUUCAGAGGAUGGAGGCAACAGGAAUUAUUAUCACGAUUAUUUUCUCAUCUUUCAAAAGAAUGUCAAGAUAUGUUGCUUGAGGUAUUUUUCUGACCUUUUUUUAAUGCACAACACCCACUCAUUUGAUCUUUCUAAAUAAUUAGACAUAUUUAUUUUGUUAAUUAGUCCUUUUAUAUCACUGAGUGCUGUCAAGUUACACAUACUCCCUUCCUAAUCAUUUUAUAUCUCUCCUACUCCCUUGAAACUUGAUCUAGGAACACUACAUUAUUAUGUUGAUGGAGACGUUAUUUUUUGUUAGUUAGCAUGGUUUGUUAACUUCUGAAAUGUGCACAUAAUUUCUGAUUUUUAUUUUCAAGUGGUAUUUAUGCAAAUGUGCAUCAUCCACACUGCAUAGACACAUACAGUGUUGACUGUGUAACUUUUCAGGUGGCUGAAGUCAGGCCACUUUGGAGAGCAACAUACUUUGAGCAUGGGAAUUAGUGAUGAUUUUGUGGUGUGUAAUAUCGUAAACCAAAAAUAACACAGAUGCUAUACAGGGUUUGAGACGGGGAAAUUGAAGCAAAUUAGCAAAGAAUGUAGGUUUAACUGGGGCCAUGCUUGAGUAUUCUGUUGGUUCAUCGAAACAAAGCAGUGUUUCUCUUUGAAGAUCUGUCUUUUAAAAGGGGCAACUAACUAUAGGGCCGUCUUUAGAGGCUAAAAUGGAGGAGCGAGAUUUUUUUUUGAUAAUGGAAGAGCAUGAUUUUGGUUGUUGACUAACACAUUCAGAAAUAUUUAUGUAUUAAUGGAAUGAUAAAAUAUGGGAAAACACAUAUUUAUAGUUGGUUAUAAUAUUUUAAUUUGUAUAUUUAUAUUUGUGUCUCUAGAAUUAAAGUAUUUGUAUCCUUAAAAUUAGGGAUAAAAAUUAUGAUAGACAAUCUCUCAAUUGUAGGAUCAAUUUUAAAAAGAUUUAGUUUUCUAGUUUACUCACUAGUUAGUUUUAUAUAAAUCUAAAGCACUUGUAUAAUUCUUUGAUGAAUAGUCUUUCAACAUACAUUUAGUUUUACUUUUAGUUUUUCACAUAGUUUUAUUUCUUAGCUUUUCCAUAUGAUAUCAGAGCCAGGUUACCAAUCGAACGUGAGCUAAGUGCAACACCGUGAGAGCCACCUUUAGAAUCCUACGAGUUAAGUGCUACAUUGUGAGAGCUACCUCUAGAAUCCCAACAUCUAGUGUGAUUCGAUGGAUCUAUGUGUUUUAUGCUGGGUUUGACAAAGACAUCAAGUUUUAACAGGGGGAGUUUGUGAUGCCUAAUCCCACAUCGGGAUAAUCAGACUUUCUACUAUGAUAUAUAUGGAUAGAUCUAAACCUAAACUUGUCACACAACUUUUGUGGGAUAAAAUCGUAAGAUCUUCGUGUCAAAGUAGAUAGUAUCUCGCAGGUUGGGUGUAGAUUUUCACAAAUGGUAUCAGAGCUUUAAGCUCUUCUUGGGAAGAAAAUUUUUACUAUUAAGAUUCGUUUUAGCCUUGAGAAAGAUAACUAUGCCAGAGAUAGCAAAAUCUGUUACUACUACCUGAUUUGAGGAAGUAACAACUAAUAAAACCAUCGAAAUACUAUAAAAAUCUUGAGAACAAAGAGGGUUGGACAAAGAAGAGAUUGAGAAACUAAAAAGCCUUUAAAAGCAUACCGGUUAUGUGCUUUGGGUAAGGUUUCUAAUUCAGGUAAAGCUUUUAGUUCUCAUGGAUUAAAUGUUUCUAUUAAGCCUAUUAUAAAUUCUUGGGUCAUCGACUCAGGAGCCAUAAAUCGUAUGACACAUUCCUCACAGAAGUUUAGUACAUGUACCUUGUAUCCAAGUAAUAAGAAAAUUGUUGUUGCAAAUGGUUCACUUACUACAAUGACAGGAUUAGGAUAUAUUCAAAUUAAUCCCUCGUUUGUUCUUAAAUAUGUUUUUCAUAUUCCUGGAUUGUCUACUAGUGUGAUAUUUAUACAAAAACUUACUGGAGAUAUGAACUGCAAAGUGAUUUUUUAUCCCUUCUAUUGUGAAUUUCAGGACCAGAGUUCAGGAAAGAGGAUUGGGCUUGCUAAGGACAAUGAUAGACUAUAUUAUCUUGAGACAUCAAACAAUACAAGUAAUAUCAAGAAUAAUUUACCUUUGUCAUUUCUUUCUUAAAAAUCUCCCAAUAAAGACAAAAUUUGGCUUCAUCAUUUUCGUCUUGGACAUCUUUUUUGAAACUUUGAAAAACAUAUUUCAUUUUUUGUUCAAAGGAUUAAAUGCCAAAAAUUUUCAUUGUGAUGUUUGUGAACUUGCAAAGCAUAGACGUAUGUCUUUUCCAGUUAGCAAUAAAAGGAGUUCUAAUUUUUUUUAUUUAAUUCGUAUUGACAUAUGGGGUCCCUCUAUAAUUCCUAAUAUUUCUGAUGCAAGGUGAUUUAUUUUUUUCAUAAAUGAUUGUACCAGGGUCUUAGAUAUUUUUACUUAAAUCUAAAUUAGAUGUGAAUAGUGUGUUUUUAAACUUCCAAAACAUGAUUAAAAAUCAGUUUGGAGUGAAAAUUAAGAUAUUUAGGUUUUAUAAUGCAAGAGAUUAUUUCAACCAAAAUUUAUCUACCUCUUUCCAAAAUGAGGGGAUUAUUGAUUGGUUAUAUUGUUUUAAUACUCCACAGUAGAAUGAAUGACAGAAAGGAAAAAUAAGCAUUUACUAACCACAACCGGAACUUUACUUUUUCAAGUAAAUGUACCCAAAUCUUAUUAGAGGAAGCUGUUCUCACUGUCACAUAUAUUAUAAAUAGGUUACCUUCAAGAUAUUUGGGAUUUAAAACUCCUAUAGAUCUACUCUUACAAUUUUAUCUCAACUUUAAUACCACAAACAACUUCACACAUAGAAUAUUUGAUUGUACAUAAUUUGUUCAUGUUCACAGUCAUAAUAGGAGAAGUUGGAUCUUAGAGCAAUUAAAUGCAUUUUGUGGGGUAUUCAUCAACUUAGAAGGGGUAUAAGUGCUAUAUUUGCAGAUGUCACUUUUUAAGAAAAUAAAUCAUUUUUUACUCAACCUUAUCUUCUGAGGGAGGCUUCAUGCAUGAAAGAUAAGGAUAAAGACUUCUUUUUGCUUAACUUCUCCUCCUCUUCAACAUUUUCA